UGGUGCAGAAAUAAAGGAGUACCAAAGUGAAUCAGCCACAAAAACCUAGGUCCAACUCCAAGAAUGGUAAUUCACCUCAAGCUGAUACAUUGCAUUAGCUCGCUAUUUUGGUGAAAGUAGGAUGAUGUUCUUAGUUGUUACACACCAAUGUUAUAUAACUGAACAAAGACUGACUCCCACCGCCUAUAUUACAGAAGGUUGUAAGCGUGAAAGGCUUGCCCCAAAGCAAGUAGAAGUUGUACCUGUGUGCAAGUCCUCUUGUCCAUGCAAAGAUUGAAGCAAUGCUGUUCGUACUGGUUUCACCUCCUUUCUGGUGAACACGGAAAUGACGGGUAACUGUGCCGUGGGCAGCUUCAGCUUCAAUGGUUUUUCCAUCAGGGCACACCUAUAUACAGAACGGAUUGACAUCAUUGUGUAUAUUUAUGAUAAUGUAAAGCAUGGAUCUCUGAAGAUACAUUCCCAGGUAUGACACUAAUUCAACAAAAAAUAAGGUUCUUUUUCUUUUUAUAAUUAUGACAUCUAAUCAAGAAAGUAAACUAGAAAUCAAAAGAUACAUACCAACACUGAUGUCAUCAAACCCAAAGAGCCAAAACCUGCAUUGGUAUAUAGGUUGAAUUAAAUAGAAUGCAUUUUAGCCUUGUUGAUUAUCAUGCAAGGGGAAAAAAUAUUAUUGAGCAUGUUCUACGCAUGGAUUUAGAAGUUUGUAUUUUAUUACCUUGAGCUAAGAAAUCACUCUGCACAUCUCCAUCGUAAUUCUUGCAAGCCCACACAUAGCCUCCUUCACUCUUAAGCGCAUACGCAACCAUGUCAUCAAUAAGACGAUGCUCAUACCUGCCAGAUUCGACAACAAGAUAACACUGAGAGAACUUUCUAGAAGAUUUGAGCAAACAACACAAGAUGGAAAUUCACCAUAUUCCAGCAGCCUCAAAUUUUGAUUUCCAGCCAGCUUCAUAGACCUCCUGGAAAAUGUCCUUAAACCUGCAAGACCACAAAAUAUCACAAUGCAAACACACACACAUAUAUAAUAAGACCAAUUAUCUAUAAGACAAGCACCAGAUAAUAAGAGCAUAUAAAGAUGUAAGCACCUGCCAUCGUAUUUUUUCAGGAUUGUGUUUUUGGUGCUAAGGUAGAGUGGCCAUUUCUUCUCAUAAGCAGUUGUCAUAGAAGCCUCGGCAAAAGCUCGAAUUGACUAUCAAUAGCAAUUAAAAAGAUGUUCAGAAAAAUACUCAGAAUUGAGACACUACAUCAUAAGUUGUAACUAAAGACAAGACAUGUAGUACCUCAUCAGUGUUGUACAUAGACAAGGCAACUCCUCCAGCACCAGUGAAGUUGAACACCUCCAGAUCAAUCUGUUCUUCUUUUCCCUCUACCAAUUGAAAAGGAAACAAGAAAAAUAGAUGAUCAAAUUUUGGCUCACAUCAGCUCUCUGAAUGACAAACAAUGCAAUCAUACAGGACAUAAUGAGAAUCUGUGAAAGAAAAAAACUGUUAAGAAAUUCAGUUUAAUGAUCUGAUGUAGGCAACCAUACGUCCAUACCAAAAACUAGCUUCAGCUUCCCAGGCCCCUUCAGAACUGCAUCAGUAGCACGGUACUGAUCACCGAAGGCAUGCCUUCCAAUGCAGAUGGGCUUAGUCCAUCCUGAUUUCACAAACAUUUCAGUUUAGAGGGAAAACAUUAUUACAAUCAAAAUGCAGAGUAGUUUCACUUUUUUUGUUAAAUACCUGGAACAAGCCUUGGCACAUUUUUGCAUAUAAUCGGCUCUCUGAACACAGUGCCUAAAAGCAACAAGCAGAAAGAGAAGCUUCAACAACCAAACUAUGAGUAUUGCAUUCAAAAUUCAAAUUACAAAAGCACUUUACCGUUUAUAAUGUUCCUAAUUGUGCCAUUUGGGCUCUUCCACAUGUGCUUCAGGUUGAACUCCUUAACCCGAGUUUCAUCUGUCACAUGUUGAAGUAGUUAGAUAUAUAAACUUACAUAGAAAGGUAUUUCAACAAUAUUAAGAGUGCAUAUUUCAUCCGCAUAAGAAUCAAAUGUACCUGGAGUGAUGGUCGCACACUUAAUAGCCACAUUGUACCUGCAAAACAUUGGGUUAGAUCUGAGUAAUAUGGAACAACAAAGUCACAGGUAGAUGGUAGAAUAACAUGGCAUGACCUUGAUUUCAACAAAAUUCAUAAGAAUCUUGUGAUUCAAACCCUUUGCAUCAGACUCAAAAUCAAAAUACCUAAAAAAAACUCUUACUUGAGAGUAGCCUCUGCAGCCUCCACUGUGACCUUGUCAUCAGUUGCAUCCCGAUGCAGUAUCCCCAAAUCAUAGUACUUGAUGUCCAGAUCAAGAAAUGGAAAAAUAAGCUGCAAAAAUAAUCUAUUGUCAUCAUCUGGCCUAAUGGAAACAUAGAAAAAAAAUAGGAGCAAGCAGUGCAGUUUAAUCAGAAGACUGGUAACGCAUGAAGUAUUGAUUACCUUGUCCUUGAUAGACUGCCAGAAUACCCUGGUCAUCUCAUCACCUGUAAUAGGACAAUGGCACAAGGUAUCAGCUACAGUGUGUUUAAGCAAAUUAAUUUAACUUUGUGCAUUUCACAUUGGAAAAGAAAAAACAUUACAAAUUUAUCACUAAAAUGGGUUAUUUGGAUGAGCGUUAUCUUGUUUUUCUUUUCCUUCAAAGAUGGAGAAGUCAGCACAUGUGGCAGUCAGUACAAGCAGAGCAACAAUAAUGAUCGAACGCAGAGCAAGACUUUUUAUUGCACCCAAAAAUACAAGUGAGAUCCAGUGGUUAUACAUCCACCAAAACUGUUCCACUACCAGUCGACUACCAGGUAGGGGCGGAAGCUAUAUAUAAUUUAGGGAUGUGUUGCACCACUCAAAAAUUACGAAACAGUGAUUUAAACUAAAAUUUCGCGACCAUAUACGCGGAUGCAGUCCACCAGUCACUGUAGUACAAGUCCAUGAACCUGCCACUGCCACCAGGAAAGCACCGGUGAGUGCUGACAUCUAAAACACCACUUUUUUUCUCUAUUUUACGCAGACUUCGUCUUUUUUUUUUUCUCUAUUUAAGGCAGAUUUCGUCAAACUUUCCUCCUGUAUUUUACGCAGACUUCAUAUAAAUUUUCUACACCUUCAUCCGUAGUUAGAUCAUCCGUGCACCCGUCUGCAUGCCUGAAUUCAGUCUCACGGGUCACGGCAGGGAGGCGAACAGCGAGAAGUCGCCUCCCGCGCUUCCGCUGACAUGCGCCGCGGCGACUCGACUACAGAUUACACACAGGUUCCUCGCCAGAAACCUCCGUUAGCGUCUUACCGAACCCAUCCACUAAACCUUAACCAAACAAAUCAGAGUGAUCACAAGGAUAGCACCGAGGGUUCAAUCCUACAGAUCUCGGCGGACCCGAAAACCCGGCUUUAAAUUAAAAAAUCCAGCAGCGCGACGUAGUUUAUUAUCGGCAAGCGAUGGGAUCUCACCGUCCAUCUCGACGAUGGGGUUGGAGACCUUGAUCUUCUCGAACGCCAUGGCGGCGGUGGCGGGGUCGCAGCUUUGCCUCGGAGAUCGGGAAGGGGCCUGCGGCGGCGCCUGUGGAAGGAGGAAGAGAGAUGGCAGGCAGAGCCGCAGAGGCAGGGGAAGAGAGAAGGAAGAGAGUCUGCGAGCGGAUUUAAAGAACAAGAGGGGGAUGUUCCGGGCCCACAUGUCGGUAGUGGAUACGUUUGUAAACUAGUUUUCCCCGUGGGCCCCAGCUUAGGAUCGGGAGGUGGGGCCAACCUGUAUGAAUCGGGGACGUACGCGUGGGCCGUCGAUUAUGGUGGGGGAGAUGGUAGUUGAACCGUAGCAAAGUAAUUGUAAAAAAAAAAAAAGAACCGUAGCAAAGUAUCAUAUGGAUUUAUAGUUUGAGUUUUCAACAAAAUUGCUUGGUUUUCUUUUGACAAGAAAAAUGGCUUGGUUUUGGACUUUUGUUGAGGUGGUGCCGUGGCGACCGAUUUUUUUUUUUUUACUAUAAUCAUUUGGAUAAGCCGAAAAGAUUGAUCCUCCAUCUUUGUGUCUAGAAGUAGACUCUCGUAGGAUUCCACCAGUUUGACCAAAUUGAAAGAUGUGUGCGUGCUUCGUCCGUGGGUCCCUAGUUUCUGUGGGUCUCUUCCUGACUGCUUUUGAAAUAGACAUCGUGAGAUUAUAAGGCCAGCCUAAAUGCAUGUUUUAUGAGAGUGUCAUACACAUUAAAUAGGGUACCACAUAAGCAAAAUUGUUGACUUAACGGGAUCAUUAAAUGAAGGAGUUUUAUCAGAUGAGAGAGGAAUUUCAUCCCUAUGAAACUCAUAUGGCUUUAUAGUCUUGGUAACUGUGCCAUAAAACUAUGCAUUGAGACUUAAUAACUCAUGCCUAUUAAAUAUAUGGUUGACUCUUCUACUUAUCUAAUUUAGAAGGAUUUUUCGCGUGUUGCCGCAUAUAUAUAUAAAGGAGAAAUCUAUAUGUACAAUAUUAGUAAUAUAAGAACAUGAUAUAAUAUAUAUAGAUUUAUUAGCAUAAUCGUGUUGAUUUUAUCCAUAUUGAAUGAUAUGUCUUGCUGAUGUGAAUAUCAUAAUUCGUGUGUUAGUAAACUUUAAUUGUAAAUGACGGUGGACUGGUGAGGUGCACACCUUGCAUAUCAAGAGAAAUUGCUAGUACUGAAUGAUAGUGAACUGUUGAGGUAGACGUCUUGUAUGUCAAAAGAAAUAACUAGUAGGUUUUGCUUUAUAAGAGUUAUAAUGUAUACUCUAUCCUAUAGUCACUUCAAUUUUCUUGGAGAGUUAAAAUAUUUUAAUUUUAGCCAAAUUUAUAUAAUAAAAUAAAAUUAUGAUAUUAAAUAAAUAUUAUUAGAUUCUUCAUUAACUUAUAUUUUAUAAUAAUACAUGUUUCAUAAAUUAUUGCUUAUGUCACGCGACGAAAAAGUCACCUUAGGACACGACGAAAGUCGUACUACCUUGGUGGCAAUCUGAUCAGUGCUUGAACUACCGAUGCCUGAUGGUAGGUUUGCUGUCUUCACCUCGCACUCACAGUUCACACCUAACGCCCAACUCCCAAAAGUGCUAGUGUUACUGUGAUUGGCAUGAUGCUUCAUCAGAGACAUAGACCAAAGAAUACUGUGAUAUCACCAUCAAUGCAUCUCACAGCGUCAUCCUCCACCAACCUAAAGCCACUACAAAUAAUCAGCCUUGUCAUUGACAGUAUAUGCUUUAUUAUAAUAAAGUUGAAUAAAAAAGGGGAAUCCGGUUUUCUCACCUACUACUACACUCUUUUUCCGCUUGCGGUUUGCCCUCGCGAUCAGAUCAGCACCGAUCGUCGCUACGGCACUAGCUCAAAGCCUGCAACAGUAGCCAACAUAUGAGCUUCUGCCGCUGUGCAUACGAGCUUCACCGUUUAGAAUUGGGAUGACAAUAAGCCACCAUGCAUGUCUUGUCCAGUGUGCUGCUGCAACUCCAUGACUACCUCUCCUUUUUCACGCCUGGCCUAAUGGGUCUGUUCCCCCAGCAACUUUUUGAGCAGGACUAGAUGAUCCUUUCAGUUGAGCGUAUAGUUUUCGGAUCUGUUGUCUGUCACUCUUCCAGACCUUAAUCUGUGUCAAUCUUUAAGGCCUUAUUUAGUUCACCCCCUAAAACAUAAAAAAUUUUCAAAAUUUAUCGUCACAUCAAAUAUUAUGGCACAUGCAUGAAACAUUAAAUAUAGAUAAAAAAAAUAAUUAAUUACACAGUUUGUUUGUAAUUUACGAGACGAAUCUUUUGAGUCUAAUUAAUCUAUGAUUGGAUAAUAAUUGGUAAAUAAAAACAAAAAUGCUAUAGUACCAAAAAAAAAAUUUCACCUCUUCAACUAAACAAGGCAUAAGAGCAUGUCACCGUCAGAGCAAAAUAUCUAAGAGCACUUAAACUAGAUCGUCGAAGUCAGGAAAAUAUUUCGCGUCGUUCUCGGUAGAAGCGGGUCCAGUUGGCGCACCACUAGCAGUCUACCACCCGGACAGCAGUCUGAAGAGCCGGACAGAACGAAGGGGCAGCAACACUUGGUUGGCAGUUGGCACACAACAACAACAACACCAUAUCAUCAUCCGUCCGCAUACGCUUCCAGGUCCAGGUCCACAUGACCACAUGCCACGAUCUUCCUCGUCGCCGCGGUCACAGUCACAGCGAUGCAGCUAGCUGAAGUCUUUCCGUUUGUGAUAUACGUUCCGAAGAGAUAAGCAUAAGCUUGGAGGCUCCCAUCCAUGUCAUUGUUUUUAUAAAUGACGAGUAUGUUGAUUUGAGUUUAUCUGUCUAAUCUGACCGUUAUUCAAUAAUAUUUUUUAUCAUAAUAAAUAAAUAAAUAAUAUUUUUAAUCAUGACUUAUGACUUUAAUCAAGCGAACAAGCUAAGACUGGAGUAGACCCGUAUCCUUUCUUUGAGCAAGAUUUGGCAGAGGUGUCAUAAUCAUAGCACGCACUACCAGACCGACUCCUCCUCUAGCGUGUCUCGUCGUCUCAUAGCACACUAGCACAAUGAUCAUUUUUGCUUCUUUGGUAAUUAAACACAGUGAACAUGUGAGCACCGUCAACAACUGUUACCAGUUACUACUCUAAUUGCUGAGACUGACCGAGUAGGGCUGUAUCCCUAUCAAAGAGAUCCCAACCCACAAACGUAUCACGAAGGAAGGCUAACUGUUACACGUAAGGUCGAAAAUUCAACUUCAACAUAAGUUUGUCAGCGCGUGCAUCUCGCAAGACACGGGGUUUGUCCAAACUCGAAAAAGGCUGAGCAGAGAUUAGAGGCGCUUGCGGGACUUAUUAGCCAAAAUUAGCCAUACUUUUCUAGCCACGGAAUAAUAUUUUUCUCUUGUAUCAAAUUAGCAUCAAUACCAGCUACAUCUACAUAAACAAUCCAGCGAAUAGGGAAGCACAUCUACUACUGUUCUGACCAACCGAGUGAUGGCAAACGAUACAACCGUCAGGCGCCCACGGAUGUGCUAUAUGAUGUGUGUGUGUGUGUAUAUAUAUAUAUAUAUAUAUAUAUAUAUAUAUAUAUAUAUAUAUAUAUAUAUGCGAUGCAGUCUAGUAGUCCACUCCACUCCAAUCCUACAUGUUGUAGAGGGAACGGAAUGCAUCCCGACGAUAACGAAAUCUCGUUUGAGGAAGAACAGUAGAGAAAACAAAAAUAGCAGGCAAGAGUUUGAUGCCUCAAGAAUUGUAACCGAAGAAGUGAAGACCAAAUGACUCUAGGUUGAGAAUGACCCAAAGAGGGAACAAAUUGCAAAAUGGGAUCCUACUCCUAGGAACAUAUUGCGUCAAAUAGCAUGGCAAUAUCUAGGCGUUGUUUAGUUCCGAAAAAAUUUGCAAAAUGGUUACUAUAACACUUUCAUUUGUAUUUGACAAAUAUUAACUAAUCAUGGACUAACUAGGCUCAAAAGAUUCGUCUCACAAAUUACAGGUAAACUGUGCAAUUAGUUAUUUUUUAUCUAUAUUUAAUGCUCUAUGCAUGUGCCGCAAGAUUCGAUGUGACAAGGAAUCUGAAAAUUUUGUAAAUUUUUUUGAACUAAACAAGGCCCUAGCUGAACACACCAGCUAUGCCUCGGCUCCUGUGGCGGCGGGGGCGGCCGCGGGCGCCGCCACCGCGGCGAGGAGACUAAGGCCUUGUUUAGUUCCUAAAUUUUUUUUGUUUUAGAUACUAUAACUUUUUUAUUUUUAUUUAAUAAUUAUUGUCCAAUCAUGGACUAAUUAGACUCAAAAGAUUCAUCUCAUAAUUAAGCAAACUGUAUAAUUAGCUUUUGUUUUUGUCUAUAUUUAAUGCUUUAUGCAUGUGCUGCAAAAUUUGAUGUAACCGAGAAUCUUAAAAAGUUUUUAGUUUUUAGGUGAACUAAACAAGACCUAAGCAACAACAGAAGGUGGUGGAGGCGGCACUCCAUGGUGUAAGAUCACCUAUCACUUACAGUAGGGUUGAAAUAGCCACCAUACGACUAAAAGCCCAAGUUUUGUUUUGGUAAUUAAUGACAUCAAGUUGCUAAUGUCUUGUGUUUAAAUGAUUUGAGUUAAGCAUAACAACACAUGUUAUGAAGAUGCAAGGUGAUAUGGAAAGGUGGCCACAUGAUUACAAAAGAGAUGAAGCAUGGAGUAGAGAUUAUGGUGAUAGACAAGGAAUAAAGUAAUCAAGGCAAAGGUAUAAACAUAGGUUUUGCUUUUGUCGGUCUAAGUUGAGUAGAGAAGGUAUAAACAUAGGUUUUACAAAGAGAAUGUUUUGCUUUUGCUUUUGUCGUUCUAUACUAACUCCUUUGAAAAAAUGUUUGUGAAAAUGCUAACACACAUGUACUUUGGUGGUGGACACUUAGUGGUGUUAGCACAUUUGUAAAGGAGGUGGAGUUCUUAGGGUAGAGAGGGGUUUGGGUUCCUCUCUCCCUCCCACCGAGCUUGCGAGGCGAGAUUCGGCGCUUUUGAGAAAAAUAAAACGUAUAUUUUCUAUUGCCCCGGUGGAAAGUUUGGAGAAGUCGUGGGAGUGUUUUCACUGAAAAAACACUCACCGGACACAGUAUCGAACGCUACAACGGACGUGUUCUGUGCGUCCGAUGAGUGGCACUUGUUGGCGAGUACACAUCGGACACAUGCAUAGUAACUUGAGUGAGUCUGAUGAUGUGCGUCCGGUGGUUCUUUACAGAAGCGCUCGCGACAUCAGACGCACCAGAGAGCGUCCGGUGGUCAGCGUCCGGUGACCCAGCGCAUUUUACACCCUCUCUGCGUACGGGUCCAGUGUGUACCUAACGCGUUCGGUGCUCACUGCGCCCGGUGGUUUGCAAGUGACCGUUAGAUAUCGACGCGCGAUUUUCAAAAGGGUGACACAUGGCUGACAUCUGUGCACCGGACGCAGGUUCCAGCGUCCGAUGGCUCCCUGAUAUGCGUCCGGUGUCCCCGACUUUUGCCCAGUGAAAGGGCCAAUGGCUCUAUUUGUUGAGGGGGCUUUAUAACUAGAAGGUGGCCGGCCUUGGGGGUUCUCUCUUGCACUUUGGCAUACUUGAGACAUACUUUGAGCUAGAGAACACUCCCUCCACUCAUCUUCUUGCUUGAUUGCUAAUUUUAGUGAGAUUGAGUGAGAUUCAAGUGCAUUGCUUAGUGAGUUGCAUCUAGUGGCACUUGAUUCUUGAGUUUGCUGCGGAUUUUCUUGUUACUCUUGGGUGUUUUCCGACACCCUAGACGGCGUGGAGCAGCGGAGGUGUUGAGCUCAUGAUUGGAGAUUGUUUCGAGCCUCACCAAGUGAUUUGUGAGGGGUUCUUUAGCCUUCCUCGUAGGAAAUUGCAAUUGGCUACUCUAGUAGAUUGCUCGUGGCUUGGAAGAUUCCCAUCUUAGAGUAGAUGUGCGGCACCUGCUGAGAGUUUGGCUUUAAAUUGCCAAUUAGCUCCUGAUCCAUCAAGUGGGUGUAUCGUCACAACGAAGACUAGCUUGCCGGGAAGCAAGUGAACCUCAGUAAAAAAUCGUGUGUCAUCUUGUGCCAAGGAUUCUCUCUUGUGAUUGUGUUUGUGAUUGAUUGGAUAUAUCUCUUCUCUACAACAUUGGUAUAACAAUCACUCUCCACUCUCUUACAUACUUGCUUACCUUGCUAGUCGUUUAGCUUGUGUAGCUUAGCUCUUGUUUAAAGUAGAGUCAUUGUGUUGCCUUCUCUUGUUGUUUUGUUUUAGUGUUUAGCCUUGUACUAUUUUGUAUAGGUGGCUUUGCAUAGCUUAGUUGUGCUAGUGCUAAAAUUGCUUCGCCAUUUAUUUUACUAACUCACUUGCUUAGUGAAGUUUGUAGAAAUUUUAAAUAGUCUAUUCACCCCCUCUAGCUAUUUGGACCUUUCAACGACCGGUUGUAAUCCUAUUUUCAUGGCAACCAGUAGCAAUUAUAGAAUGAAAUAUAUAUUACUGUCUCUAGUUCUAAAUUAUACAGUAAGUCAUAUUGAUUUUUUUAUUUCAUCCAUUUUACCAUAUCUAGAAACAUAAUAAAAUAGAUGUACUAAAAAAAUCAAAACAUCUUAUAAUUUAGAACUGAGAAAAUAUAUAUACUAGCUGAUACGUGAUUAAUCUUGAUAUGAAUACUUUUAGUACAAUAUUGUUAACAUCCUCCCUCAAUCAUAACUUUCCAAGAGGAUGGCCAAAAGAUGAAAAUGAGCUGCAGGAAGAUUGAGAUCACCGCGAUGGAGGUGUUUGCUAGAAAUAGCUGGAGAUUCAACAAUAGGAUUACAGUUCAAAUGUUGCUUUUAGAACUUGUACUUUCUUCCACUUUGCCUUAAAACUUCGAUUUUGAGAUUGUGUGGAACAUUGAUCUGUGCUUAUAAUAAGAAACAACUAUAUGCAUUAGUUGAUGCAAAAGCUAGAAUAUUAAUACUCCCUCCAUAUAUGAUUUAGAAGUCGUUUAAGACAGCAACACGGUCUCCAAAAACACAACUUUGACCUCUUAUUUUAUAAGAAAUAUUUAUAAAAAAUGAUAUAUGUAUACUUUUAUGAAAGUAUUUUUCAAGACAAAUCUAUUUAUAUAAUUUUCACAUUUAUAAAUGAAACAACUUAAAAGUUAUUGAUGAUUUAUAUUACCAAUGUUUGAUCUAAACCUUGUCCAUAACGACUUUUAAAUCCUAUACGGAGGGAGUAAUAUUCCCUUUUGUAAAAAAAAGAUUUUAUAGUUUCCUCGUCGUGAGUCUUUGUGAAUCUGUUCACUAAUUGAUCAUCUAUAGGUAUUUGUCGAACCUCCAAUACUUUUUAUGCUAUCUUUUUCCUGACAAAAUAAUAAUCAACUUCAAUUCAAUAUAUUUCACUCUAGCAUGGAAAAUUGGAUUAUCGGAGAGAUAAGUUGCACCAAUAUAAUUACACUAAACCCUUGCAGCAGGCGGACAAUGUAUUCCUAACUCUUUAGAGUGCUGUCACCCAAAUAAUUUUAGCUGUUGCAUUUGCCAUAGCCUUGAACUCAUCUUGUGUGCUAGAUCUUGAAAUUGUGGCUUGCUUGUGUGAACUAAAAUAAGAUUACUCCCAAAGAAAAUAGCAAAACCACUAGUAGAUCGACGAUCAUCUAGCCACUAACAAGCAAGGAUGAUGAUCUUCUAAUUCUCAAACUAAUGCUCGAAGUGGACUUCAAGUAUUUUAAUAUUCUUUUCACUGCUGUCCAGUGCAAGGUAGUGGGUGAGUGCAAAAAUUGACAAACCUUGUUUACUGAAAACGAAAUGACUGGUUGGGUUAGGGUUACAUACUGCAUUGAUCCAACUAUACUUCUAAAAUGUGUGGCAUCUGUUGCUCCCAAUUUAAUUUAUCACCCUCGUUCACUUAGAUUUUUUUUCCAGAUACAGGUAACGUUGUGCUGACUGGUUUACAAUACUACAAGGCUAUGAGUUGCAGAAAAAGAACAGGAAGAAAUACAACAUAUAUGCAUUGCCACACAAAGAAUAGGCACAUGCAGAGUUUUAACAGUGAACAUAAAAACUUUAGAAUGUUGUUUCUUGGUUGCUAAAUUUAAAUCGCCCUAAAUGGUGAGUGUUAAUUUAUACUGAUACGAUCUGCAGACAACUUGGGGGCACGAAAAAUUUCCGUUAUUAGAGACAAAAGGGUGACUGAAUUUGGACUUCCAUUCUUUCACUGUUGCGUACUAUGUAAGAACACUCAGCUCAAAGUCACCACUGCUGCGUACGGAGAAACAUUGAAUCAACACUGUGGAUGUGGAGUGUGGAAGAACAUUCAAUCAUAUAAUCAAUUUGGUUGAAGCAAAGCAUACCACACUUUACAACAGUGGAAGAAAUUUUCCUUGCCACCAACCCUGGUUGAAUUGAGUGGACACAUGAUCAGAAAUCACCUUAAUUUAUAUGCCGGUGAAAGUUUCUUUUGUGCUCACCUGCAUAUGGCACAAUCGAUGCAAUGGUACUACCCUUUCUGUUUCAGUAAAAGAAGUAAUAUGCAUCAGUAGGCAUGAAUGGUACAAACUACAAAUCACAUACGAAAGCAGCCAAACUUCAAAAGUUACAUCAUCACCAUAAAAUUUGCAUGUAUCACAGAAGUACUCUCCCAUAUUGACUCCACAGCCUAUGCACACUUAUGACACCUGAACAACAAAAAUGAAGUUUCAGUUUAAGCACAAUAACCCUUACGUGACAUGAGCACUGAAUAAAAUCUUUAACACUUCAAGUCAUACAGGCUGUUCUGAUUCACAGAGUAGGCAAACUACCUGCAAGAAUGAAGAGAGUUAAUCUUCCAGAUUUGCUGAACAUAGUAAAGUCAAUUAAUUGCAGAAACUAGAAAAAGAAAAAAAAAAUGAAAGGCUUACCUUUUUAACAUCCUGAUGACAUAUUUUUGUGCUGAUCUCCGGAAGCCUACAGUAGUGAAGAAAGAAAGAACCAACACAAGAAGAAGAAUAAGUGCUCUAGCAUUACCUGCUCUUUGCAUACAGUGCCAAAACCUGAUGGUUCGAUUUCAGAAGGCACAAUUUCAUAAACCCGUUAUGCUGUAUUGCUCCUAAAAUGGCUGAAGGCACAAUUUCAGAAAUCUAUUAUCACAAGUGUUCUCUGCGCCGCAACCUCAAGACCACCACCACUAAAUUCCAUAUUUUGAUUUACCAUGCACAUAAUUGAACCAAAAUGAACACACUCAAGAUCCAAGGCUGACACAAGUACAGUAUACAACCAAACUACCGAGUCGCAAAUGUAAUAACUAUAUGCCUAUACCGCCCCCGUUGGACGUGCAAACAGAAAUGCAUGUCAGUGCGCUAGCUAAACUGGCAAGCACGCCAUGAGGUUCCUGAGUAGACGAGCUCGCUGAGCCAGUACUUACGAAAAAGGACACUAGCUCAUCCUAGCCUGGUUGUGGCCGUGGCGACAAUCUGCAGGGGAGCACCAGGUUGCAGCACGGCACCACGAUCUUGCGCAGGCCUCCGCCGGUAAUGCUCGCACCUGCGGCAGGCAACGAGAAAACUUUGGACCUAGCAGAUUAAAGCACAGCGAAGCUAGGCCAGCUUGGAUCAGGAAAACCGAAGGAGGAGAGAAGGUGAACGAGCAAAAUCAGGCAGCCAGAUGGUUCAGGAGGUGGGAGCAGAUCAACCAGCCACGUAGCGCAGAGCGAUUUGGCGCCGGAAGGAGCGAAUCGAAACUCCGUCGGGAGCAAGGGAGGGAGGCGGAGGCACGGCCGCACGGGACAAGGAGAUUAUAGCUAAUCAAAGGCAGGCCGAGCCUCAGGCGCGCUCACCCGUGUUCCAUCUUGUUGCCCACGUCGCGGCGGUCGACCUCCCCGUCGCGGGCCGCGACGACGUCGUUGUCGCUGGAAAACCGGCGCUCCUCCACCAUCCCCGUCACGUCACGCACGGACGCACCGAGUUUGCUUGCUCGCCAGAGAGUAUUCUGUCGAGGAAACACAUGUGGCGGCAGUAGGCUGCCCUGAAGUCAGACUCCGCGUCUCGAUGCGCACGGAAGGUUUUCCGCCGGGCGGCCCGACGAUACGAGGCUACCUAUGCGGCCUCGCGGGCGCGGCAGGGUCUCGGGCUCUCGGUCUGCUUGGCGUGGCCAAGCCAAGCGGCGCCACCCGACCACCGGCGUGGUGAAGCCGCCGCCUUAUCCGUCCGUGCCACUUGCCAGUUGCCACCUUUGGUGCCUGGGCAAGCUGGAGGAGGUUUGGUUUGCCGUUUGGUUACCUUAGCCUCCCGAACUAGGCGAGACAUAGACGACGUCGUCUUCAUGCCAAUGGGCAGGACACCAGCACCUACCUUCUGGUCCUCACCGUGCUGCAGUGCAGGCCGAAGCUACACGACGACCCGAUGAGCAAAACGAAGUGGCGUCAACCGAACCGACGACAAAUCGCGCUUCCAGAAAGUUCGAAACAAAAGGGCGAGCUACAAAAUUGGAGCCGCCACGGAUUCCACUGCGGCGCUCGCUCCCUGACUCGCUGCUGGUUCUUUCAGCAAAUCCAUUGGAAUUCCGAAGAACAGCUACGUCGUCUACUAAAAAAAAAUCUGUACCUGCACAGCUCAGACCUCGCCGUCGCCGGACCGUCUUGGAUCCGUCCGCGGUGAUCGCCUGCCGGUGCCGGGGAGGGGAAGGGAGAAGCUGCACGCGCUGGGUGGAACCAAUCCAUCAACCAAAGCCGCCGCUCACCUCGCAUCUAUUCUGAUGUGCCCGGUGCCGCAACUCGAGCAGAAGCUGCUGCCACUGUGACUGAUUGGUGGCCGCGUCCUCCGCGGUCUAUGCACGCACACGCCACGUCUCCUCCUCCAGUCUCCCCUCGCACGAGUCGCCGGAAUCUAUCGCGCCGCGCACCAAACCACCAUCAAAACCCACCCCGACCGCCGCCGUGCAGCGGAACACUGGACCUGGUGGGUUUGGUUGUUGGGUCCCAGCACCACCAUCGAGAGGCCCUCCUGUGGGUUGUGGCACUGUGCCAGCUCCGGCGAAAUCGUCACACACAAAUAGAGGGGGGAGAAAAAGAACUCCGGCGAGCGGUGGCCCGUGGCCCGGGCUUACCAGGAAUCAAACGAGACGACGCGAAUGUACGGCGGAGAGGGAAUCACCGUCGUCUCUCCCGCGUCCGGCUCAAGAUGCGCGCACCUUUCCGACCGCGGAUUCGAGCACACGGCCACCACCAUUGUACCAGAGAAAAUGACUUGGAGAAAAAAACCCGAAAGAACAAAUAAAAACAAAGCAGAGCAAGACUCCAUUAAUCAUCAAUCCUUCAGACCUUCGUCUUGCUCGGACUUCACACGGCUGCUCCGCUGCUGGAUCAAACAGCUUCCAGACCUGUCCCCGUGCACGAUUUUUUUGAUUCAGCCAUGGAGAUCUGAUCGGCAAGAAACACACAUAGAAAUCUGAGCUCGACUCUUUGCUUCAGCCAAAGAGAUCGAUCGAUACAGGGAAAAAACACACCAAGAAAUCGAAACCUCUGAACGAGCAAAGAACACGAAUCAUUAACAGGGGAGGAAAAAAAGAUCGGGAUGGAAAAACAACGAAAUUUCUUCGUCAACAUCUGCUUUCGCUGCCGCGCCGAGGUGACCAAACAUGCAUCGGGCUUGUAAUAAUCAAUCAAUCAUCCGAGCUCAACCUCCAUCAACAGCGCGGACCUGCCUACGCUGCUCGUGACAUCAUUCCCACGAAAGUGGGUACGCUGCAGCUCCGCUGCUCGCUCCACAAAACUUGUUCAUGUCCGUCCAUCUCUCUCCUCCAGACCAUGCCCAAAAUCACCACGAUUCUACGCUAGUCCAGACCACUUCCAAAAAUCCAAUUCUCAAGCACAACUCGUUCCCAAUCGCUCGAAACCCAAAUCCCCAGCUCAAAUCAUACAUUGGACGAGAACCAAAAAAGAAAAAAAAAACGAAAACGAAAUUGCCAGCGCAGAUCACCAUCCGACCACGAGGCUACCAAAACGCCCAGCCAGACUCGUGCCACCCAUCACUCACUCCUGCUCCAUCUCCAUGGACGCACACCACCGCCACGGCCACCAUCAGCACCACCACAAAAUCGAGAGGGCAACCGCACGAGCACCAGCUCCGCUCCCAUCCCACGGCGGAGACGACGACGACGACUUCUUCCAUGUCACGACCCCCCCCUAUCCGAUCCAAUCCGCCGAAUCGCACGAGGAAACUUCGGGAGGAAAAGAAAAAAAAAACGCAUCUCAUCUCCCUCGCCACCGAGCCGCGUUCCCUUCUCUCUUCCCCCCCUGUACUUGGAAGCCCAUUAGAACACACCAAGAACAAGCAACCGAGAGCAGAGGAGACGAGAAAAAAAAAAUCCCCCCAAAUCCCAGGCCGAUUUAUCUUCGUCAACAGCAUCUGGCCAGCUCCAUCCGAGGUCGUUUCCGCCGCCUCCGCGAGGUCUCGGGAGGGGAGCGGAGCUCCCCAAUUGACCGAAUUCGCGAGGCGGGCGGACGGGCUUAGGGUUUGCCAAGGCGCUCCGGCCCUCCCGACUCGCCGGGGCGAUCUAGCGGGCCGGUUCCGCGGUUCCGGAUGAUCUUCAAGCGGAAUCAGCGGUCGGAGAUCCUUGCGCUGCGGCGCUGCAAUGCCGCGGGCGGCGGAGGGGAGGACGAGGGGGGAGGCGACCCUCGCCCGAGGAAGAGGCGGAGGGGCGAUGAGUUCUUCCCCGUCGAGCUGCUCGGCGACGUCCCAGCCUCCGCCAUCCCGUACGCGGCCUUCGGCCUCCGGUGGAGCGAGGAGUCCGCCGAGGCACCGGCAGAGGCCGCGCAGCCAGUGCCCGCGGCGAGGCCGCCGGUGGUGCGCACGUCGCGGGGCCGCACGCAGGUUCUGCCCUCUAGGUUCAAUGACUCGGUACUUAUCGACCCCUGGAAGAAGGAGAAGCCGGCCAAUCCGCCGCCGGCAGCGGCGCCGCCUGUCAAGACAGAGCAUUUGGUGCGCAAAAACGGGCUGCUGCACAGUAAAGCUGCAAUUUUUGGCAGGAGCUUUGCAUUGUCCGAGGUACAUGACAACGAUGAGGAGGAGGCCAUGGUGGAAGGUUACCGGGCACGCCGCAAUUUUGGUGAUUCCAGGAAGUACUUAGCCUCUGGGAGCACGCUUACCUCGGUACAUGAUGAACCAUACAGCAAUUACCACAGAAAGGAAGUAAUGCUUAGGCAUUACUAUGAGGAAGAAGAUGAGGAAGACGAGGAGGAUGAGCAAGAGGAGGAUGAAGGGUAUGAGGAAGAGGAUAAAGAAGAGAUUUUUCACUGUACCGAGCAAUUGGUGUAUGGGGACAUUGUGUGGGCAAAGCUUGGCAAACGUCAGCCGAUGUGGCCAGGAGUGCUGAUCGACCCAACUCAGCAGGUCGCUGCUGAUGCAAUGCCACCACAGCCUCGCCGUGUCGCUGUGCUUUGUGUGAUGCUAUUUGGCUGGUGCACAGAGUUCAGUGAUGAGAAGGUACAAUUUUCCAGUGACUGUUGUAUUCAAAUUGGUUGACUUUAAUUUCUACUGCUUUUCUCCAUUGGAAAUGAUGCAUUUGAUGAUGAGUUGCAGAAGUACGUGUGGGUGAGGCAGGGGUUGAUAUUUCCAUUUUCAGACUACAUGGACCGGUGAGUAGUAUUUCAAAAUCUAUAACUACAUGGACGACAACUGUUAAAAUGCUGCUAAAACACCUGCUCGAGUAGUUUUGACAACUUUACUACAGUUAGAAUAUGCCAGCUUGUGUUUUAAGAACAAGCUGUAUUUCUCAUUUCAGAUUUCAAGGGCAGACAGAACUAAGCAGUUGCAAACCUGCUGAUUUCCGGAGGGCAGUAGAAGAGGCCUUUUUGGCUGAUCAGGGAUUCUCAGAAGUAGUGAUUGAUUGCAGCACUAAGGGCCAACCUGUGGUGUGUCAUUCUUUCCCAGAUGAUUUACAUGAAGUGACUGGUUCAAAUGAGUUGGAGUACCAGCCACAGAUUAAGGCAAGUUGAUGAAUUUGUUUACAGCUGAUGCACAACUAAGGCUGUGCAUACGUAUAGGAGAUUUCAACAGCAAAUCAAUGUCUUAUGCCCAAUCUUCUUUGGUUUGCUUUGAUGUCUGUUAUGUCAUUUCAAGGGAAUCUUAUGAUGUCACAUUAACUUGCGUCCUUACCUCAAAUAGGAAGAAUUCAGGUGUAGAUCAAAGGACCAUAAAAGAAUUGAUGUAUGACAAUGAUGAAAUCUUGAAACAGAUACACUCUAACUGAAUCAUUUACUAUGUAUAAGCAGAAUGAUAUUAUUCUGUCAAUUCUCUCUGUGGAACAAGAAAUUUUCUUUCCCAAGUUCUAGGUUUGUCAUCUCCUGGCAACUGUUAGUUCUGUAAGGUCAUGUUACAUUUUAAGAUUGUAUUGAAACUACUGUGGUUAGAUGAUAUAUUGCUCAGUAGACUAAUUGUAUUUGUUUGAUCAGUUAGAUGAUAGAUUGCCUCAGUGGACUAAUUCUAUUUGUUUGAUCAGUUAGAUAAUAUAUUGCCUCAGUAGACUAAUUCUAUUUGUUUGAUCAUUCACGCAGCGGUGCAGAAGAGCACUGCAGUGUGAGAGUUGUGGAAACUGCUUCCCGAACAAGGAUACAAACAAGAUGGUGCAUGUGAUGGAGCAACUUGCUUGUAGACUUUGUGCCGGGGUAUGUUUUGUCAUACCAACUUCAAUGCAUACAUUAUGGUUAUUAUGUUGGCAGAACUUGAGCAUAUAGACCUUACUCCUAACACUACUUUUUUUUGCACCUGCAGAUCUUGGCAUUGAAGAAGUACUGUGGAAUUUGUUUAAAAAGUUUGCAACAUAAAUAUGGUGGAAGAUGGGUAAGAUAGUCUGUAGAUGUUUAAGUGUUAUAAGUGUACCUCAUUAUUCAUAGCUGCAAAUUCUCAUGGGGAUAAGCGAUGAUCAGGUUUGCUGUCAUGGCUGUGAAAGUUGGGUUCAUGCAGAAUGCGAUGAAAAUUGCAGCAACCUCAAGGUUUGUCUUUAUUUUCUCAUAAUAACAGACUGAAUACAUCUGCAGUAUUUUAGCAAGUGCCUAUAACAUGCGCAUAACUAAAUGCGGUAGGAUCUACAAGACAACAGUUAUCGCUGCCCUUACUGUAGAGUUAAAAUGAAUUCAACUCUCCCUGGGAAGAACACAAAAUUUUCUGAUGUCAGGUAAGUGAAAAUCAUUUGUUUAUGUGAUGCUUUCAUAUUUGAAGUGUGUGUUUUUGACAAUAACAUGUCUACUAUAAUAAUUUUGUUAAGCAGAAAAGAUAGUUCUGCACAGAAAGGGGGCAAGCCUGACAAAGUUGCACUGGUCUGUUUUGACCUGGAAGGAACAUACCAACCAGAUCUCGAAUUGUAAGUUCUGUGCUGUGUUAAUUGCACAUGAAAUUUUUUGACGCCAUCCGCUAUCUCUGUCCACCACUCCUCUUUUCCCCCUUUUAUUAUGCUUAUCAAGCUGAUGCGAUGUUCAUACUAGAAUUUUCUUGACUUCUGGCUAAUCUUUGUGGCAGAAUUUCUUGCCAUUGUGGCCCUUGCAAAGGACAGAAAUUUUUGUUCAAUGAAUGGGAGCGGCAUGCUGGCUGUAGAAGUAAAAAUUGGAGGUCCAGUAUUAAGCUUAAGGGCUCAUUGAUGCCAUUUGGGAAAUGGGUGCGUAUAGUGGCUACAUCAUACAUACUUUUAGAUUUUAUCACUAAAUAGUACAUAGUUCAUAAUGAGAAUAUGUUUGUCAUCCAAAUUAAGUUUGUAUCUUUGUGCUUUCUGUUUUUGUAUAAGACUGCCAAACAUUUUGAUUUACAGAUAGAUCGACAUCAGCCAGGCGUGUGCCCUACUAAUCCUUCAAAACGCUUAUCUCAGAAAAUGAAGAAACAGAAGUUAAUCGAUUUACUAAAUGGUAUAAUAGCUUUGAUUUUAAUCUUAGUAGCUUAGUUGUUUUUGAAGAUACUUCUCCCAGCAGAUUUCAAUUCGUGGAGCUUGAAUUUGUUUCCUAUGCAGACCCAUAUGAUCCUGUAAAUGUAAAAUGGACAACAGAAAGAUGUGCGGUCUGUAGAUGGGUUGAAGAUUGGGAUUACAACAAAAUUGUGAUUUGUAAUAGGUAAAUGAACUUGUAUUAUUUGCAAAAUUUUUUCUCCAGUUUCAAUUUGUUUCGAAAUACGGUGCAAACCCCAAGCCGCAACUAACAACACUCAUGUUCAGAUGUCAGAUAGCAGUUCAUCAGGAAUGUUAUGGUGUGACGGGAAAGCAGGACUUUACUUCAUGGGUUUGUCGGGCUUGUGAAAAACCUGAGCAAAAAAGGGAGUGCUGUCUUUGCCCUGUGAAAGGUAAUUCUUGUGUGUUUGAUAACUAUUCUGUAAUUCCUUUCUUCGGUAACUGGGUGCAUUUGAAAAGAAAAGGUAAUAGUACUGGAACACAUCGAUACUUCUAUACAGACAUUCGAACCUUGUUGCGUUAAGUUAAUAACUGUAGUGACAGGAUUUUUACAUGAAGACCUGUUAGGUAUUUGCUUCCCUUCUCAACUUCCAUGACUAUUUCAGUAGCUAAAGAUUGAACCACAAUUGAUGUCGUGUAGAGUGGGUUUAUCAAUUCUGGAUUUGAUUAUCUGGGUGCAGAUUGCUUUCUUUUUUAUCGAGUAUUUCUUUUUCUAAUCAUUAACCCUGGCACCUGGUGAACUUUGAACUUAUUGUAGGUGGUGCUUUGAAGCCAACAAAUGUUGAUAACUUGUGGGUUCAUAUAACAUGUGCAUGGUUUCAGCCACAGGUUGCUUUUGCUAGUGAUGAGCUCAUGGAACCUGCUGUUGGGAUAUUGAACAUUCAACCUUUGCUAUUUAUGAAGGUUGUUUAUCUUUCAUACUAUAAUUUAUGUUGCUUAAGUGGAUUGACCAACAAGUACUACAUUUUUUUGUGCUGAAGUAUGACAGUCUAUGCUCUAUGCCCAUCUAUUUCUGCAGAUGUGUGUGAUUUGUAAACAAAUACAUGGUUCAUGUACUCAAUGCUACAGGUGUUCUACUUACUACCAUGCCAUUUGUGCAUCAAGGGCAGGCUAUCGAAUGGAGGUACAUCAGCACUGAAUGAUACCUUUAUGCUGAUUUAAAUGUAUAAUUGGUUCCUUUUUCUUUGUGUCUCACAUUUUUAUGUAUAUAGGUCUAACUGUUACCUUUAACUCUUUUUCCAUAUAUGCAGCUUCAAUGCUUGGAAAAAAAUGGCAAACAGACAACAAAGAAGAUUUCUUACUGUGCCCAACAUCGGUAAGUUUUCUUUUGACUGGAGGAAUUAAAAAAUAAUAUGUUCAAUUUAGUGAUUUAUUUAGCCUUAUUCGUCUUAGUGAGAGUUCAAACUCUUGUUUCUGUGCAGGAGCCCUAACCCUGAUAAUGUUUUGAUAAUUCAAACUCCUGCUGGAACUUUCUCAUCAAAAAAGCUUGUUCAGAGCAAUGGCAAGGUAGCUGCAUCGAGACUGAUCAGGAAAGAUAUUCCCUUGGAUUUGCCGUUAGAAGUUGAAAUUUCAGAGAACUUAUCAGCGGCAAGAUGUCGGAUUUAUGUUAGGAAGGAUCUAAAGGUAUUAUUAUAUUAUAUUUGUAUAGUUAUGUCUAUUUCCAUAAAGAACUUAUUUUUAAGGUGAAAGUAGAGAAUGCAACUCUAGAAUAGCUACUAGAGGAACCAUACAACUGACUUUCAACAUGGUGACGUAAACAGACCUUUGCAAUGAAGUUCUGGAAUGGUGGUUUUGCAUCAUAGGAUACUAAUGUUUGGUCUUACAGAAAGUGCCACUUAAGUAUGUUCACUAAAAGAUAGCAAUAGUAGCUAAAACUAUUGAGUACUAAGCAUGCGAAGAGGCUAAUGCCGUAUAAUCGGUUUAGUGGUCUUGACAUCUAAUUUUUACUAAACUUUGAAAUUAUUCAUACUAUGCAAAAAGCUGUAGAGAUGGUUCCGUAUCACCAUAUGCCCCUGCAUCCAAUAAGCUAUGUUGAACUGUAGCCAGAUACUGAAGUAAGCUUGUACUCGAAGAAAUAUUUUUCGGGUGUGUUUGUGGGUAUGUGUUGUAAGGGCUCUCUACACCUUUUCUUCUUAUUUUCUUAAUAUAAUGAUACACAGCUCUUGUGUGUCUGAAAAAAAAAGUGGUUCUGGAACUGAUGGCUCGCAGUGUAGGUUAAUAAUAUGGUUGGUUACAUACUUUGCAUGGAAACUUUGUAGCCAAAGAAGUUUAAACAACUGCUAAACAAAAAGGUGAAACCAUUCAGAUUGCUGCUUUCACCUCUUGUAAGUUGUAGGGAUCCAAUAUGCCAAAGAAAGUAUGCAUGGACCAUAUUGAUGAUUUGAUGUUUAUAUUUCAUGUUUGACCCCAAAAUGUACAUCCACUUUUGCAUGGAGAUGUUACCUGUUGUACUUCCAAAUCUAUCCUUUACCCUUAUUGCUAUGCUUCCCGUCAGUGACUCAUUUCACUGUUCAUGCCAAACAGUCCACACACUCUAUGCCCAUGAACAGUGCCACGCCAUGCACAUGAAUAUUGAACAGCACAUACAUGAACAGUGCAUCAUGUCCAUGAACAGUACCCAUCCUUAUCUAUUCAAAAAAAUUCUUUUGGUUCCAUUACAUUAAAUCUUUGAACGCAUCAAUGGAGCAUUAAAUAUAAAUAAAAAAAUAACUAAUUGCACAGUUCACACAAAUUUUACGAAACGUUUUUUUAACCCAAUUAGUCUAUGAUUAGACAUUAAUUACCAAAUAAAAUAAAAUGCUACAGUACCAAAAUCCAAAAGUUUUCGCCAACUAAACAUGGCCUAAUUCCUGUUGUUUGAUGUAUCUCAGUACAAUGUUAUUACUAUUAUAUACCUUUGUUUAAUAGAGAUCUAAUCAAAUAAGAACUCCCCUCUAAUAUACCUAUAGGUACUCUGGAGAAUAUAUUUAGUUUAGAAUUGCCAAAUAUUUGUCCUCAUGUCAAGAUCAUUUGUUUUGUUAGUCUACUUUUUGCCAGUCAGUCCAGUUAAUUUAAAAUUCUAAUAUAUAUAAUUAUUCCAUUGUUUUUAAUCAAUACACCCUAGCCUGCGCAACUGCGCGGGGGUUUGGGCUAGUUAGUUUUAUUUUUAUCCAGUUGGACAGGGAGUCUGGUUAGAAAUUAUUGUUUCAAUUCAACCAAUGCUUGAAAAGUUGUUUAAUGGUAUCUAGACUUUUAACCAAUUCUCCCUUGUAAUAGAGGUUCCUGACUUGCCAAAGGCCUGCCAAUCUCAGGUUCAAAUCCACAAGACAAUAAUGAUAAUCUCUGCACUGAUGCUUGCUUUGCUAUGUUAUUGCUUUUAAUAGUUUAUUCAUGUCUGUAUGUAUAAACCAUUGGUACGGCACCUGUAUCGAAGCAUAACUGUGUUUUAUUAACAUGCAGAGAUCUAGAGAGGGUGCAAUUGCGCAUCGUGUUAGAGGACCUUGUCAACACCGCUGGGAUGAAAUUGAUAUUCUGAAUCCACCAAGGGUAAUUUUCUGAUUUACUGCAUAACCUGUUCCCUUAUAAGAUUUUCUCUCUUGUAUUAGAGUUCAAUUUCUUAUAAAGCAAGUUUUUGUACUUAUCUGCAGGAAGAGAGGGAUCCAGAAUCUUUUUGUACUUUCAAGGAGCGUUUGUGUUAUUUACAGGUUAGUGUGUCUAGUGCUGUCAAGUUUCUGUAGUACCUUCUGGCUUCUGUGCUAGUAUAUAUUAUGAUUUAUUUUUCUUAUUUCAGAAAACAGAGCAUGGUAGAGUAUGCUUUGGUAGAUCAGGAAUUCAUAGGUGGGGACUUUUUGCUCGGAGGGACAUUCAAGAAGGAGAAAUGGUACUUUCCCUCACUUCAGAAUUGUCUCUACUAGGAACCUAGAUUUACUUCAUUGUGAUGACAGCGCCCACUUUCUACGUCUAUGUCUAAUUUCUCAUAUUUUGUAAUAAUCGGUGGUCUACUAACCCUCUAGUAAAUUCUGAGUUUCUUUCUGGUCCAUUCCUCUCACUGAGCUUGAAUUACUAGAAUUGAUUUCUCAUAAGUCCACUGCUUCCGUAUCCAAUAAAUUUGCUCACACAAGCAGUUCUUGAUUUAUAUAUUUUCAGGUCCUUGAGUAUCGCGGUGAGCAGGUUAGACGAAGUGUAGCUGAUUUACGGGAAGAAAAAUAUCGUGUACAAGGCAAAGAUUGCUACGUGAGUCUUCUGACAUUGUACAUUGGUUCAUCAGAUAUGUGGUCUAAAGAACUUGAAUAGAUUUUCCCCCUGGGCAAUUGCAUUCUAAGUACAAUGCAUAUGUGAUUAUGGCUCUGGUGAGCUUAUUAUGCUAAUUUUGUUAUGGAAACUCUGAGUAGCGCAGAGGAAGAUCAAACAAUUUCAUCUCUGAUAAUCCUUUUCUACUACUAUUGAUAUUUUGAAUGGUGAAAGAAGACGUGUUUUUAAUCAUGUAUUCAUGUUGUGUGUAUUCAUAUUUAACAAUUAUUGGUGAUAUCUUUAUUGAACUUGUCUUUUCUACUUCACUGUCUAGUGAUUUGAUAAUUACAUUUUAUUGAUUUCUUUCCUUUGUGCGCACAGCUUUUCAAAAUCAGUGAGGAAGUGGUUGUUGAUGCGACAGACAAAGGAAACGUGGCACGAUUGAUCAAUCAUUCUGUAAGGAUCAUAUGCCAAAAUUUAAAUAUGUUUAGCUCUAAAAUAAAUGCUCAUUUGACCCUUUUUUUUUACUUUUUGAUGCAGUGCACACCAAACUGCUAUGCAAGGAUUAUGAGCGUUGGACAUGAUGAAAGUCGUAUUGUUCUAAUAGCCAGAAAAAAUGUUUGUGCUGGUGAUGAGCUAACGUAUGUUAUGUGAAAUGAAUCUCUUUCUUGAACUUCUCUACUACUCUAUCUGUUCCAAAAUGUGUCAUUUUAGUUUUGUCCUAAGUCAAAAUCUUCUAGUCGCAAAAAAAGUCAAAAUCCUCUAACUUUGUCUAAGUUUAUAGAAUAAUGUACCAAGAUCAAAUUCGUUUAAUUAAAUCCACCAUUAAAUAUGUCUUGGUAGUGCAUUUUAGUUGGUAUUGUAGAUGUUAACUCUAAACUUAGUCAAAGUUACAAAAGAUUGACUUAGGACAAAACUAAAACGGCCUACAUUUUUGAAACAGGGUCAUAAACACACAACUUGACUAAUUCAUGUUAUUUGUUGUGUUAAUUCCAGGUAUGACUACCUGUUUGAUCCAGAUGAGGCUGAUGAACGCAAAGUGCCAUGCCUUUGCCAGACUGCUAACUGCCGGAAAUUCAUGAAUUAGUUUACUUAGAUGUCAGAGGAUCACUGACAUAGUUUUUCCCUCCUUGUUUAUCCCCCCUUCCCCCCCUCGAUGAUUCAUUUGUGGUAUAUCUUGAUCUCUCCCGAUUUUUGUUUACAUUCAUCUUAGAAUAAGUUUAGUUAGAGCUCAAAAGUCGAGCUUCCAUUCCUGUAAAUACCACAGUUGUAUUCACUAGGGCCAGUACAUUUUUCAAAUAAAAAGUUUUGUGCCAUGUUGAGCUCGAUCGUGCACAUUAGCAGACAUUGACACCAUGACAUGUCCAUAUUCUUCAAUAUACUUUUGAAUCAUCAGACAGUACAAUACAAUUGAGGCCUCUCUGCGUUGUACGCCCUCCAUUCUGAAAUGUAUUUGUAUUUUGAUUAUAGAAAAAUCAAAGAAAAUAUUUUAUUCCUCACAAUAUAAUUUAUUUGCUAAAGAACUCCGUCUCAGAACCUUUCUUUUUAAUACAACUAUUUAUGCAAGUUUUAUGCCUUAAAUUUGUAUGUAAAAUUUUACUCAUUAGAGCAUCUCCAAUUGUUUAGAAAAAUGACUUACUAUCUUUGUUUUUUUGAAAAAAGAAGAAAAAUGAUUCUCCAACAGUUUGGAAUAAGACUUGCUAAAAUUUUCCAAGUUGGAAAAAAGAGGAGCCGCGCGCGGAUCUUUCCGCAGUCAUCCUCGCUUGCUAUCCCUCCCCCGCGCCUCCACUUCUCCUCCGCGUAGUGUGAAACUCUGCUGAAAGCUGCUGCUGCUAAUCCAUGUGUGAAAGCUGCUGCUGCUGCUGCAUGGCAUACUGGUGGUGGCUGGAGGAAGCAUGACGACGAAAGCUGCUGCUGCAUGGCGUACUGAAAGCUGCUGCGUACUUAUGCUGGAUGGAGGAAGCAAGGCGCUGCUGUUGCUGCUGCAUGGUGUGCUGCUGCUGAAAGCUCGGCUGCGGUACGCGACCACACGAAGGGUCACCGCGAGUGCGAGGGGGGCAGAGGACGUAGAUCAUACAAAAUCUGUUGGACCGGUAUACGUGGGUCUAUUUUUCUAUAUUUACCAAACUCAAUUUACUAAACUAUUGGAGAUAUAAGAAAAAUUAACUUGCCAAAAGGUUUAGCAAGUUGCCAAAUGACAAUUUUUUCCAAAUCGGUUUUUCCAAACAAUUGGAGAUGCUCUUAUAUUCCGUUGUCUUUAAAACUAAAGACAAAAGUAACAGCAGUGCUGUGCGUUGGUGGGGCCUACAAAUCGAAUCCGUGCAAAGCGACGCUGGGACCUUUUCUCUUUCUUUCUUCUCUGAUCAGAAGUCCGCCCCAGGCCCCAGCUAAUAUUCCGUUGUCAUUUUUACAAACUAAAAACGAAAUAACUGCAGUUUUAUGUGCUGUUGGAACUGGAAAUCGCAAACCGUGCAAAGCAAUGUUUGGACAGCCUUCUCUUUCUUUCUAGUCUGUUUUUUUUGAGAGAGAUAAUCUUUCUUGUUUGAUCAGAAGUCGAAUAUCCGCCCCAGCUGUACCAGUGGCCCAAAAUGCCGGUCUCAGGCCACGACACUGGUGACGUUGCUGUCACGUGGGGCCCAUGUGCCAUGGACUCAGUGUCAAUUUACUCUCUGUCCUUUUCUUUAUACGUGUUAAGUCAAACAUUUUUUUAACUUUGAUUAUGAUUAUUUUCAAAAAAAUAUGUACAUGUUCACAACAUAAAACUGAUGGUUUUAGAUUCACAAUGACAAAAUUGUGAAACUAUAUGGUCACAGGUCAUAGAUGAAAAUAACAAAGCUAACACAACGUGUAAAAAGAACCGCGCGAGUACACAUCACCCAGUACCGCUCUGAAGUCACUGGCGGUGGUGGACUGGUGGUACCCUCCCAGCGAGAGUUUGGAUGAGCCCGGCGACGGGGACACUCCUCGCUCACAGAUGAUGUCCUUGUCUCGUGUCCCAGUAGUUAGCUAUUUAGCUAGCUAUAUUAUGACGUAAAUAGUGAAAAAAGUAGAAGAGAAGGUAAUCAUUAGCGCUAAAUAGCUUAUCUAUUUCACGCAGCCCAAGAAUCUAUGAGAUGAACAUGUAGAUCUAAUAGUACAUAGAAAAUAAAAAUAUAUAAAAUAAUUUUUACUUUUACUUUUCACCUCCAUGUCCACUACCUAUAUAACUAACACCACUGAUGAUUGAAUGAUAGAUGUGGCAGUCAGAACACUUGGGGCUUUCUCUCCGUCUCACACGCCCUUCAUUCCUUGAAUCUCUUGGGGCUUUCGAGCAAUAGUAGAAUCAAAAUACGGGGCCAGCUGAUAGAAGCGGAAUAGCCACAACGGCAGAAAGCCACCGGUAUGUGGCUGAUUCGAUCCGAGACCGCACGAUACUCGCGCACUUCGGCUUACUACAGUUAUUAAUGGCUCACCGCUCAUGACUGCACAGUACUUUGUUGCCAUACAUACAUUACCGAUUUUAUCCGAGGCCUUAAAUAUCUCGUUAAUGUCGCACUCGUAUAUGUGAGCGUCUUCGUCUAUAACUGGGUCUCGCAAAAAAAGUACUUAGUGUUGAGAAUCCCACUUCACUUAAUUACAUUUGAUUUUCUUAUUCUAUGGUUGCAAGUUGAAAAUGUGCCGUUCUUUAGUGUCGCAGUCUAUGGAUUUUGUUUGUGUUGUGAUUAUAACCAUUCGUGGUUGUCUGUUCCCUUCUAGAUUGUACCCUGCUCACCAAUGUUUCCCUCCAUGCGCAGUCCAAACAGUACCCCAGUUUGGGGGAUCUGACGCAACGGUGGCGCACGGCUCACUAGUCGCUACCUCCAACGCUGGGCUAGGCACAACAGAGUCAACUAAACAUGGGGAAACGAGUUACGCUCGACAUCAGGAUCAUGGCGGGACGAAUCCCACAAUCGAAAUGAUCAAGUGCACUACCAUUUCCUCGUCUAGCUCGAAGGCUCGAUCCACAGGGGCAAACGAAACACAACACAAGAACAACGAUAACACGAGAGAAGGGACAUGCUUGGCAUUACGGCCAUGGCGAGACAAACUCACGAUCGCAACAUUCAAACACAUCACUCUCUCAACCGACUUGACGACAUGGUCCACAACCAACCAACCACACCACACAAGAACCAUGACUCAACCAAAGACAACACCAAGACACGACGGCAACUCGGAGUAGCACAUUUCCAUAGCACAAGAGUUAGAUAGAUAGACCGGCACAAAGGCACAGCAUAGGCAACGAUAUAGACAAAGAUAGAUCAUGUAUCAAACAAGAUAGAUGAUGUAUGAACAUGUUUAGAUGAUAAAUAAUGAAAUGACAAGUAUGAACAAGUGUACGAGAGCAAGAUAGGGUUUUGCCGAUGUCGCGAAAGGCGUCGACUCGGUUUAAGGUUCGACCUUGGUGGUGGGGAAGGUGGAGGGCUAGGUUUGAUGUCACGAUGGACAGGCUAAGGCCGAUGGUGUCCCAAGCAGCAGUGGCAUCAUCCAGACCGGUGGCAUGGCUACUCGACGAGGGCACUUCGAGGCGUCAUGCGGACGACACCAAGGUGACAGCAAGCGUAGCACCAUGCUCGACGAAGUGCUAGGGGCGAUGUGGCUCCUGGUGACACGGUGGCCGGCUACCACUUGGCCAAAGGUGACACAGGGCCCUGCGUUAGUGAAAGUAGUGGCGUGAAGGCCGACUGUUAGCCAAGAACCACGACAUGGUCUUCGAAACGGAAGGAAAAGUAAGGCCUUGGCUUGAGAGCUCACCGAUGACACAGAAGGGCUUGGCGAGGUGGCAGCUCGGCAUGGUGGUGACCAUGGUAAGGACGUGAGCAUGGGUGUUGAGGACGAUGUCAUGGUCCCGGUGUUGAAGUGCUCGGUGUCGGCGCGAUGGGGAAGUAGGGUGUUGAAGGGCUUGGCUCGGGGCUCGGAGCAGGGGCACAGUUGAGGUCAUGGUGCGCGGCUCGAGGCGCUCAGCGAGGAGCAGCAAAGGCGUCGAGGUUGUGGCGCUCGGUCGUGCAGCGGUCGAUCGUCAUGGAGGCGAGGAAGAUCACGACUUGUGGUGGAGCUUGUCGAGGCCGAAGUCGCGGCGGUGGCUUGGCGUCAAGGGCUCCGGUGACGUCGAGGUAGAAGCUCGAUGAGGACGUGUUCCGGGUUGCCGUGCUCGUUGUGGUUGGAGCUUCUGGCACUUGUUGCUGAGGUCACGGUGGUGGCAUGUAGCUACGGUGUCGUGGACGUGAUGAGGAGGUGGCUCAACUGGCCACGCUCGACAAGCACGAGGUGAGGGUAGGAUGACUGGCUCAGCGAGGUGGGACAUAGUGACCACGGCUGAGCGCGAUGGGGCGAGGACGUCGUGGCUCGGCAUGGUGCCAAGGCACGGCGGCGUGAGCUUAGGGGAGCAGAGGAGGAAGGGAGUGGCGACGAUGGCUGGGAGGGAUGGAGCAGAGAAGGCAUCAACGUUCUUAUAGUGGCACGACGCCUAGGGUCCCGAGGCUCCGUCCAUCCUCAGUGUCCGUGAUAGGGAUGGAGACGUGGUGCACAUCUAGGAGGGGCAUGGAGGCCAGGGCGCUGGCGUCAGGGGGCACGAGUGUAGGAGGUGGUGCCCAGCUCGGUCUUUGGUGACGGCGCCUAGGGCAAGGCUGACUAGGGUUGCCAACCCUGGCGCAGCGGUUGGGCCUAGCAGGAUGUUUGGGCCAGGGGCGUGUGCGCAUGAGCCGCCUUGGGAUGGGCCAGAGGGAAGGGGAGGUCAAGGCCCAGGUGAAGGGGUGGCGCGCUGGCGCUGUGGGCCUGAAGGGAGACAAGCUAGGCCGGCGCUAAAGAGGGUGCUGGACCGAGGGAGCGCCAACACGAGCUGUGCUGGGAGAAAGGAGCUAGGUGAAAGCCAUAGUUUGGUUUUGGAUAAUUGAUGAAACCCUAGUACUAACCUCUAUGCUAAGUGUGUGUAGACUUAAUAAGGUUGGUACAUGCCAAGUGAUGGAGCAAGUGAUGAUCAUGGUGAUGACCACAAGAUGAUCAAGUGCUCAACUUGGAAAAGAAGAAAGAGAAAAACAAAACCUUAUGGAGAUCAAGGCAAAGGUAUUGCUUAGGGUUUUGGUUUUGGUGAUCAAGACACCAUAGAGGGUGUGAUCACAUUUAGGAUAGAUAGCCGUACUAUAAAGAGAAGAAUUCUUUGGCUAAGCGGUUAUCAAGUGUCACUAGGUGUCAUUGUUCUAACUCCUUCGAAGAAAAUGAUUGUGAAAAUGCUAACACACGUGCACAUGUUGGUUUACACAUUGUGGUGUUGGCACACUUUGAGAAGGAGGUGGAGUUUGAAGGGUUGAGAGAGGAUGGGUUCGGCGCUUUUCGAGAAAAUGAAGUGCAUUUUUUCUAUUGCGCCGGUGGGAAAAUUGGAGAAGUUGCGGGACACUCACCGGACGCUGGCCUAGAAGCACCGGACGCUGUGCCUGUGCGUCCGGUGAGCACGCAGCCUGGCUCGGUUAGGGUUAGGCACCAAACGAUACGCACCGGAUGCAGCUUGGAGCGUCCCGUGGUGUGAGUCCGGUGCCCCGCGCGUUUUGCAGUACUCCCUGGGUUUAAGUCCGAUGAACAGCGGACGCAGGCUGGAGCGUCCGGUGCUCAGCGUCCGGUGACCUUGUGAAAGGUCCUUAUUUGGUUUUAGUAAUUGAGUGACAACUUAGGUGGACUAAUAGUGUUUAUGUGAGAUACACAGGAGAUUAGUCCACAGGUGAUUCUGUGAUGAUGGAGGAGCUCAUUGCAUAUGAGACAUGACAUGGAGUCAUGUGACCAAGGUGGAGAAGAUCGAGAUGAGGCUUGGCUCGAUGGACCGGUUGCAAGAGUGAAGGACAAGUUAGAGGCUUUGAAGCGAGGGACCGCGUGUCACGGUGAAGCUUGAGCAAGACUUGGCGCCGAUGGACCGAGGCAACGGUGAAGAGCAAGUGAGGUCAAGAUCGAUGAACCAAUACGGUCACGUGAUGAUAUGAAGUGGAUCAUAUCAUUUGGUGAUUGGUUGGUGCAUGUGUUGCAUCAACAUUGGAGGAGAUGGAAUGGAAAGCGCAAGGCAAAGGUAUAACCUAGGGCAUUUCCAUUUCACCGGUCAUAGGUGUGUAGAGAAGUUUAUGACCGGAUUUAGGAUAGAUGGCCGUACUAUCAAGAGGGGCAAACUUGUUUGCAUAUCGGUCAUCUAGUGCCACUUGACCGAUCUAACUUUGCAUACGUGUUAGGAUCGAGUGGCGUGGCAAGUUUGAGAGGCUAACUCCUUUGGGAAAAUGUUUGUGAAAAUGCUAACGCACUUGCACAUGGUGGCGUACACUUGGUCGUGUUGGCACAUUUACAAAGGAGGAGGAGUUCCUAGGGUUGAGAGGGGUGUGGGUUCGUCUCUCCCUCCCGCCGAGCUUGCGAGGCGGGAUUCAGCGCUUUUGAGAAAAUUAAGUGCAUUUUUUUCUAUUGCGCCGGUGGAAAUUUUGGAGAAGUCGCGGGAGUGUUUCUCAGUAGGAAACACUCACCGGACGCUCUGCGCGGAGGCACCGGACGCUGGUCUUUAGCGUCCGGUGUGCUGUCGGGUGCAGCAGAGUGCACCGGACGCACCGGAGAGAGUCUGGUGCUCAGCGUCCGGUGUGCGGGCGGUUUGGCGACCCUCUCUGCGCAUGAGUCCGGUGAGCACCGGACGCUCAGGGUGCGUCCGGUGCCUUGCGUCCGGUGACCAUGCGAGUUUGCGGAGCUCUCUGCGCACGGGUCCGGUGUGCACCGGACGCGUCCGGUGUGGGCUAGCUGAGCGUCCGGUGGUGCUGUGUCAGGCGCGAGCGCGUGGUAGCCGUUGGCGGCAACGGUCGAGUUCAAAUGGCUAGUGACACGUGGCUGACGCCUGAGCACCGGACGCUAGGAGUUUAGCGUCUGGUGGCUCCCUGUGAGCGUCCGGUGACCUCGUGUUUUGCCAGUGAAGGGGCAACGACUAGUUUAGCCCUUGGGGCUAUAAAUAGAAGUGGUGGCCGGCCUUGGCUGCAGCUGAGCACCCUUGGGACUUAGUGUCUAUGCUUGGGGAGUGCUAGUAAAGCCUCUAACUCACAUAUGCUUGAUAGUGAUCAUCCGAUUGUGUGAGUGAGCGAUUCUAGUGCGUUGCAUUGAUAGAUUGCAUCGAGUGGCACUAGGUGUUCGUGUUGCAAGCCGGUGAUGCUUGUUACUCUUGGAGGUUGCCACCUCCUAGACGGCUUGGUGGCUUGUGACUCCGUUGAAGCACGCAAGGAGAUUGUGCGGUGCUCCGGAGAAGAGAUUGUGAGGGGUACGGUGCUCACCCCGCGGGGAUCGCGAAGAGCAACUCUAUUGGAUCGUGCGUGUCAUUGAGCUACCUCACUUGUGGGUAGGUUCUUGCGGUGUCCUAGUGGGGACGAGGUUCGUGUAACACCUCUUAGCCGCCGAACCACCAAGUGUUGGUCGACACAACGGGGACGUAGCUUGGUGGCAACAUUGUUCUUCCCGUUGGUUUGCAAGUCCCUAACACAAGCUUGUUCUUACAUUCAUAUAUUUGUGCUUGUGUAAUUGCUCUUGUAAUUAGUUAGCUUGUGUAGCUUGCUAGUUACCUUCUUGCUUGUGUAGCUAGAAGUAGUUCCCUUGCGUGACUAAUUUGGUUUGUGUAACCUUGUUAGUCACUUUGCUUAGUUUGUGUACCUAAGUAAGUUGCGCUCUCUAAUUUGGCAUUAGUUGCCUUGUUAUUGAGCUUGCUAGUGAGCUUAGGCUUUGUGUGCUUUGCCUCACUAGUUUGUGUAGGAGCUCCCCCGGUUUGCAAAGUACUAGUUGCAUAGGUUUGUGUGACCUUGCUCCUAGAAUUGUUUAGGUGAACUCUUGCUAUGGUAGCACCUUGUUUGCUUGUUUAGGAUCUUUUACAAGGUGCUAGAGAACUUAGAUAGAGGGGUGUAGUCUUGGCUAGACCGAUAGUUUUAAUUCCGCAUUUGUUUCGGUUAGCCGGUGUAGUAAAUUUUAGAAAGAACUAUUCACCCCCCCUCUAGUCCGCCAUCUCGACCCUUCACCUUGCGCGUUUGCAUACCUCCCUGAGUUUAGGACCGGUGUGCACCGGACGCGUCCGGUGCACUACAGGUGACCGUUGGACUCUGACACGAGCGUUCCAAAAGGUGACACGUGGCUGACUUUGGAGCACCGGACGCUGGUGUUGAGUGUCCGGUGCCCCUUUAAGAGCGUCCGUGACCCCGAGUUAGACCCAGUGAGAGAGCCAACGGCUCUAUUUGUUUGAGGGGUCUAUAAAUAGUUGUUGGCCGGCUUAGGGCUCACUCUCUUGGCAUUCUUGACUACUAGACAUCCUUGUGAGCCUAAGCAAACACCUCCCACUCAUCUCCUUCAUAGAUUAUUCAUCUUUGUGAGAUUGGGAGUGAUUCCAAGUGCAUUUGAGAGAGUGAUUGCAUCUAGUGGCACUUGGGGAUCGAUUCGGCUGCGGUUUUCUUGUUACUCUUGGUGGUUGCCGCCACCUAGACGGCUUGGAGCAGCAGAGGAGCAUUGGCAUGAGUUGGUGAUUGUUCGUGGCCAUCUCCCAGUGAUUGUGAGAGGUUUGUGCCUACCUCGGCGGAGAGCCAAAGGCAACAUUAGUGGAUUGCUCGUGUCAUUGAGCUACCUCACUUGUGGGUAGGUUCUUGUGGUGUCCUAGUGAGGACGAGGUUCGUGCUACACCUCUUAGCCACCGAACCACCAAGUGUUGGUCGACACAUCGGGGACGUAGCGUGCCGACAAGCACGUGAACCUCGGGAGAAAAAUUGCUUGUCUCCAUUGUGUUUGGAUUUCUCCCGGUGAUUGGACUUCAUAUUAUUGAUUGGUUCAUCUCCUCUACGCGGCGGUAUAAAGAUCAAACCAUCUCUCUUACAUUCUCACAAACUAGAGUAGCUUACUUGUAUAGAAACUUUAGAUAGCUCUCUAGUGUUAGUAGUGACAUAGCUCUUGUGUGCUUAGUGAUCAUAUCGACUAGAAUUGUUGGAUAGGUGGCUUGCAAACUCCCCUUUAGAGCUAGAGCAAAAAGCUUCGCUUUGUUAAUUACUAACAUCUUGCUCUAGUGAGUUUGUAGAAUUUUUAAAUAGGCUAUUCACCCCCCCCCCCUCUCUAGCCAUAUUAGGACCUUUCACUAGGGCGGUUGGGCCAAAUGGGAGAAGAGAAGGUUUUCCCUAUUUUUGAUUUAGUGAAAAAGAGAGGGAAUCAAAGAGAUUUGACAGAGAUUCAAUAAGAUACUGAAAUGAAUUUGAAGGAAUAUAUAAGAGAGAUUCGAGAAGAGAUUUAAAGGGAUUCAAGAAAGGAAACAAGGUGAUGAGAGAGAUCAUGAAGGAUUGGAAAGGAGUUGCUACAAAUUCAAGAUGGAUUUACCGGUGGAGAUUUAGUGAUGAGAUCAAUAAGGGGGAAGGUUUGAGAAGGGAAUUUUGGGAAGAGUUCAAAAGGAGUUUGAGACGUACUCCAACAAAAAGGUUGAGAAGGGAUUCACUUAGCCUUUGAGAUAGGCUCAACGGAGAUUUUGAGAUGAGCUUCACUAUGAACUUGUGCACUUCAAAUGAACUCAAAACCCUAAACAAGGCCCAACUCAAGAUGACUCAUGAACAAAGGUACUUGCCUAAAAAUAAUUCUAUAUGUAUCCCAUGAUUUGUUAGCAGGUUAGAAUCGAGUUAAACCUAGAAACUAUAUGAUUCACAUGAUUACAGGAAAAAAUUUAAAAAGGUCGUAUUUUUGGUUUACGUAAAAUACAAGAUGUUACACUAGUCUGGCCCUCCAUUUUGCAUGGAUGGUUGCCUCCAGCAAAGCUCCUUUACCUUCCACCCCAAAAGCCAAAUACCAUCGUCAUUCCUUUUUUUAGGAAAAACACCUACUCAUCGACCCCAAAUAUGUCAUCAUCUACCCUUAAGUUAAAAACCAUCUUGAUACCAAUUGCACCUAUCAAAUUCAUAGAGGCAACACUAACAUUUGGAUGGAUCCUUGGUGUCUUCAGUAGGAAAUAUUCAUGACAACCUUAUUCUACAUCACGAACAUCAUCCUCUCUCCAACUUGGUAACUGAUCUCUAGAAUGCUAACACAUACUCUUGGAAUGUUUUUCUUCUUCCAAACACUUCUCAUCACUAGUUUGCUCAUAAUACUAUGCAAGUACAAACAAGUGAGGAGCCAAUAACAAAACUAGCUUUGAUGGAUACCCACAAAGUCAGGUACGUGCAUAACCAAAGAAGCCUGCAAGUAUGGAAGUACCAAUGCCUACAAGAACAUAGAGCCAUCCCUUAUCAUGGAACUCGUCGCCUUUCACCUCAAAUCCUGAGUCUUCUAUAUAGAAUCAGGAAGCAUAAACUCUUACUUACUAGGAUUUAAACCUCAUCCUAGAGAUUGUUCAGACAAGCGUUGGCAACUAGAGAGCGAGUUUCUCAUUUCACUUACCACCUCGAUAAUAAAUGCAAGGCUUGCGAUAAGGUUGAAACAGAUAAACACUUAUUUUUUUUAUUGUGACUUUACUAGGGAUACCUUGUUCGUCUUUGACCCGCUGCUCAAGAUAGACAUUCUCCCUGAUGACGUUGACGGUGUCUAGGAAACAAAUACUUCUAAUCCUUCCUCUAGCGAGUGCCAUAGAAACGAUACAAAAAAUCUUCACCACCUUAUUGUAUAUCUAGAAAGCAAGGAAUGUAUAGAGAUUCAAUGGAAACAAAUGGACAAUUCAAAAAGUUCUUCAUGAAACAAAUGUUGAUCUUUAGCCAUGUUGUUCUCUCUAGCAAGUGAAGAACGGGGAUCCUCACACUGCUCUAAAUGAGACCUCAACACUCAUAACACUUGAUGUCCUCUUCCCUAGGAUAAGAUGCUACAUUGACACAACCCUACCCCUAGAUGACCACUCAAGUGCCACCUGACAAGCAAGGCUGGGGUCUUCAUCCUCAACUGUCAUGUCCAUCCAACCCAAGCAAUCUAUAUCUCUACCAAAGUGCAAACCAGCUCACCUUGGGGAUGAAGUUUUAAGCCCUCUCUUCGGCAAAGUUGAUGCACACUCUAGUUUCCUAGGUCAGUUUCCUUUCCAACAACCACAAGAUGAUUUCCCUCCUUAAUCAAAGACAUAAUCAAAUAGUGCCUCACUGGAGGCUCAUCCCACUAUUCAAGAAUUCAAUCACCACACUUCAUACACAACAUACAAAGUCUUUCAAGAUUCAUAGAAGUUAGAAUAGCGUUGCUCACAUUCUAGUCAUCAAGCUAGGAAUGUUCCACAUCUCCACUUUUUUCUCAUGUGGCAAUUCCCUGCACGCGAGCAAAUGUUUGUUUCAGUAGGCCUUCUCUCAUGUACCCUGGUCCCCCUUAGCCUAAUCCAUGUAAGAUUCUCCUAAUGGCAUGAAAGCCCUUAUAAAAAAAGAUUGGGUGUACUACUGUCUGCCAUGUAGACGUCUGGUGGUGUAAAGGUAACCAACAUGCUCUAAUUUUGUCGGCAGCUGAGCAUGCUUGGCUUUGAAAGUAGACAAGCAAAGCUUAGUAUCUAGGAUGCACAUGACCACAACAAUCUAGGAAUUCAUAGUUGACACAAAACCCAUCUUGGUUUCUGUCCAGAUUACAUCACCCAACACAGUCAAAGCUUCUGCAAUCUUGAAGCUAUACUCAGAAUGACUACCAGUUGAUAUAAUAGUAUAAAUAGAAAGGAGCAACAUCUAGUUAAAGUACAAGAAAAAUCCUUUUUAAGGAAACAAGACAAUUCUGUUGGGAAAAGGAAGAGAAAAUUCUUGUGAAAAGAAUACAUGAAAAAUGGUUGCUGAAAAGAAUACAUGAAAAUUCCUGUGCUACAUGAUACAAAAAUAAUUAUUAGGUCCCAUACAUGAAAAUUCAUAUCUAGCCAACAAUAAAUACUCAUUGCAGAUAUCAAAGCAGUCUCCCACAUGGUUGUGCAUCCAAAUUUUCUAAAAAGAGCAAUAAUGUUUUAGGAGGAGAUCUUUGAAAGGAAGAGUAAUGUCUAAGGACAAGUUUUUGCCAUGUAACUACUCCCUCCAUAUAAAUAACUUCUACCUCGCUGAGAACUUCUACUACAAAGCUAAAAUGGAAAAAUAAAAUUACCAAAUAAAACACAUAAAACUUAUCAUGUCACCAGGAAGACAAAAUUUCCUUCAUAUUGACCAGUUUAGGCUCCAGUAGUCAUUGAUCCUCCUCCUUCCAAAGCACCUUCCAUUACUGCAAAAAUCCAAGUGCUUUGUAAGCCACAACCUUGAUAAAUCUAACUAAGACAUUAUUAAACACCCAAUCAUUGUGUGUCUACCACAAUGACAAACUACUCUAGCUAACAAAAAAUUCCCCACUAGUUUCCUUUAUUCCAUACUUUAGGAAGAAAGGUCUUAGUGUGGACCUAUAGAAUAAUAGGAGUGGCCUCCCAUGCAAACCUGUCUCUAAUCAAGCACCAAAAUACCAUUGCUAAAGGACAUUUGAAAAAAGGUGAUCCACAUCCUACUCUUUGUUAGAGUUUGCAAUUCUUUGGACCCUCUUGUUUCUUUUAAAGUAGUUGAUCUACAAUUUGGAUUCUAUUAUUCCAAGUCAUCCACAUGAAAAUAUGUACUUUAAGAGGGAGCUUGGUGUUCUAGGUGUCCAACAUUUUAUUAUUAUUCACACUUCCACAAGUAAUCAACCUAUAAAGGGAUCUAGUAGAGAAAUUCAUAAGACCUCAUCAAUUUCAAGAGCACCACAUCUUUGUUAUCUUGCAACUCGAUUUCAUUCAAUGGGCUUUGUAGUUCUAGCCACUCCUCUAGUUCUUCCUACCCAAACCUUCUUCAGAAUCUUAGCUCCAUUUGCCUCCAACAAGCUUUUGCCACAAAGAUGUGUUGUUCUUGUGGCAAUACAUAGGUAUCCACACAAUCCUAGAAUCUAGUGUGUUCACCAUUAUCUACUGCUCUGUCUCUUUCAUACUAAUGUCUGGCUUCUUGCAAGCCACCCUAUUGUGUAGCUUCUUGCAAGCCACCCUAAAACUGGGAAACACCUCUACUCUUAAUCUAGAAGGAAGAACUUAUUGCUAAGGUAUUUGGCUCUUAACACUCUGAAAUGAAUGUUAUCCUCUCCGCUUCGAAUCAUGAGAUCCACUAGCUAAUAUAGCAGUAUUCAAGGCUCUAGACUCGAUAUAAGCCUAAGCCACAAAAUUCAUUAGGUUUAGCUAGUCCCUCCUUAAUCAUAUGAUACUUCUUGUUGCCUCUUACUCUUGCCCAGAAGAACUUGCCUCUGAUGAUGUCAAGCACUUGAUCAUUUCCCUCAUACAACCAAUAAAAGCCCAUUAUAGUAAUGGAAUAAUAGUUAGACAAGUGUUCAACACAAUUGAUUUGCCUCCAUAAUACAAACUUCCACACUUCCAAGUUUCUAGCCUAUUUCUCACCUUAUUUUUCUCACUCAACUCUGCUUUAGUUAACUUCACAUCACUAACAUGUACACCCAAAUACUUCAUUGGCAAAGAUCCACUCUUACAAUUAAAAGUGUUGGCAACCCCUUCUCAACUUUCUUUGCUCAUCUGCACCAUAAUAAUUUCACUCUUAUUGUAGUUAAUUAUGAUACUAGACAUUUCCUUAUAGUAGAAAAUAAGAAAUAUCAGGUUCAUGGUGUGUGUGCCAUAUGUGGGUUCAAAGAACAAAAUAGUGUCAUCUACAUAUUGUGGAUAUGUGCUACCACCCUCCCCUAUAUUUGGCAUAAGCCCUUGGAUAAUCUUCUUUUACUUAAGAAAUUUUAACACCUCAGCAAGAUCGUCAAUCACAAGAUUAUAAAAAGGCAUGGUGGCAAGAUCAUAACUUCUAAAGCAGUCUCCUUUCAUAUCAUUCAAGAUAAUUUCCACUCUACCGCAAUGGACUACUGCAUAAUCCAUUCAAUCCAUUAUUUAUCAAAGUUCUUCUUCUGCAUCAAAUAUUCUAGAAAUUCCCAAUAUAUAUCAUAAGCCAUCUCAAAAUCUAAUUAACCAAAUUCCUAGUCAACCUCAUCAAAAAAACUUAAGCACACAUUAAUAGGACAUCAAAAGCAUAUGAGGUUGGGCAUGACCUUAAGGAUGAAAUUUAUAGGCCUCAAGUAGACUUUAAGGCAAGGUCCAUGCUUGAAUAAAAGAACUAAGUACUGUUCAUCUCUCCACAUCCUAUUCUCUUUCCUAAAUGGCUAAACUCAAUCAUCUUUUGCUCUUCGAUGGAAUCUAGGGGUUAGUCUUCCACUCCCCCUCUCCUUCCUUCCCUACCCUACUCUCCUCAGAAAUCUGUAGAUACAGAGACCAAACUCAAAUUUGGUGGUCUCCUCAUGUGUGGGGAGCCACCACCGUCGUCUCCUUAGCGGUCAACUCCACCAUGUCAACAUGCUUCUUCUCAGACUUGGACCCGUCAUUAACCUCCACAAGGAUGCACUACGACCUCUUCUACAAGGAACCUUCCACAACACCAAAGAUAGGAAGUCAAAUUUGUUUGUUCCCUGAGACCAAACCUCUAAGCUUAUAGUUCGUGUCCUAAGGAGUGUUUGCCCCUUAAAGCCAGCUCAACCUUAAGGUCGAUGUCACGCUAGGUGCAACAAGAAUUUAGUUGAUCCAUAGAUUAACAUCACUCAAGUGUAGACCUGACACGAAUAUUCAUUGCCCCGAGAUCAAAAUGCAUGGUUUGGAUAAAAAAAUCUAGGUAUUCAAAAUUCCUUGGACCUCUUCUCUCCCCUCCUAGUGCCUUUCCGACAAUGCCUUCGCAAACACGCAACAGCAACGACAUCUCGACAAUAACGAUUAGUUAGUGACGUCAAGUCUUUUUAGCUCCAAACUAACAAUUAGUUAGCAACGUCAAGUCUUUUUAGCUCCAAGCUAAUUUAUUUGAGAUAUGCACAAAUUAAUUAAUUUUGGUAUGAAGAGUACCAGAUUUACAAGAACAGGAGGUAGGGAGGUUGGGCAUACUAAUUGACAUGGGUCUAAAAAUAUUUUCUACCGUACAAAGAGGAUACAACGAAUAGUCAUACCACAAAUACACAUGCACCUAAAGCCAAGAUGAUACAACGAAUAGUCAUACCACAAACACAUAUGCACCUAAGGCCCUGCUUAACAGGAGCAACUCAGAGUAGCUAAAGCCAUUUUUGUACAGUAGAGCCGAAAAAUUAGCUUCUCCUGACUCACAAACUUAACCGUUUUUUAUGGAGACGCCGGAGGGAGGGGAGGGAAAUGGCUUCUCCUAACUACUCACAAAUUAUUACAAAAUAUUACAAAACUAUCAUAGAACUAUUUUUACUAAACAUUUUCUAAAAAGGCUCUAGAUCCACUAGAGAAGCUGCUCCACUUGUGGAGCCAGAGCCCUAACAAAUGGUACCAAGCUUCCUCGGUUUGGCCGUAUUGAAAACUUUUGAAUAACAAACACCACUUUCAAAUUCUAAAACCCAUCCACCUUUCAAAGAUCAUUAAUACAAUUAAUUUACUCCCUUUUAAAAAAAUGAAUUUACUCAAAUUUUUUAAUUUGAGAGUACAGAUCAAACUUGUACCGUCGAUCAACUUAUAUAGAGAUUUUCUUUUUCUUUUUUUUUUGGUCAGCUUAUAUAGAGAUUCUCUAGCCUAACGAGAAUGAGAUGCCGUAAUAUUCAUAAUAUUAUGAAAGCUAUACAAGCUUAAUAGUACUAUUUUUGCUUAGCGAAAAGUGAGAAUCAGCAAAUAGAUUAGAAGUAAAAUUCUAAUUUUAUACCACAUUUUGGUACUUUUCAAUUAAACUUGCAAAUAUCAAUAGUCAAUAGAACUAAAAUACCUGGACAAUGAAACAUAUCUAAACUAGCUGACAGAUAAGAAAAAGGACGAAACACUAAUGCACUCUUUAUUUGGGACCCUCAAAGGACGAAACACUAAUGUACUUUUUAUUUGGGACACUGAUUUUUGCUAACAAUCCCAUCCCAGAAGAAUGUUUCAGGAGGAAGGGUGACCGAGCUAUGGGGCGACCUUAGCAAAAGCUGCAACGAGACAUUCAUGCCAAUAAGGGGCACUAGUGCGCCCAAGCAGAAAACAAGAAACGCAGCUGGAUAGGCACGGACAACUUGAGAGGCGUGCCAUUGCAGCAGGUCCUGCAUUCCACGGGUACGUCCAAGUUCCCCAUAAGCAUACCUAUCUCACUGCGAACAUUACACUAUAAAAAGAACGCCCAGAUAUAAACAAAAUAUGGCAGCUCAAAAAAGCUAGGCUGAGGGCACAAGACCCUCAGACAAAAAGGAAUUAAAAUGGAAUAAAAGGAGUUCAAUGUGUACUUUCUGGGGAAUUCGGUAUCCGACUUAAAUUUACCCUACUUUCCACCAACAAAGCUUCAGAAUCCCCAUCAGUUGCAGCAACAUCAAGUUUGGUGCCGAGAAUAGAGCCCACCCUACCGACCCCAGGACUAUCAUCGAUAACCUUAUCAACCUCAACCUCCAUACCUGUCUCAGUAUCUUGCAUGAUGGAGGGCUUCUCUUGACUGUCAGGAGGGCUAGCAAUAGGAUCAGGAUCCUUGCCUACUCGAGGUUCUGCAAUAGCAGGGGGCAUAAUUUCCAUGUCAUCACCUGAUUCUCCAACAGCAGAAGGUGCAACAUCCUCCAAGCCAUCAUCAGGUGUAACUUCCAGUAUGCCAACAGCAUGUUCAAGGGUUGCUUGUAGUGCACCAUCUUCAAUUGCUGGAGGCAACACAUCCUCCAUGUCCUUGUUAGGCUGUGUGAUUCCUGUUGUUGCCACCACCACCUCAGGUUGGGGAAGGGGACUUUCUGGAGGUGCAUCCAGACCCCCAGAUCCUAUAGUUGCUGGAAUGGUCCCCCCAAUGCCAUCACCAUGUUCCUGAUUUGACAGUGAUCCUUCCGCCAUGACAUCAGUGUGACAUUGCAGAGCAGGAUUGCACACCACUAGUUCAAGCAUUUCCUCGUCAUGGUCAUCUUCUGGUACAUCCAUGUUCUCUUCCAUUUUUACAGAUGCAGAGGCAGUAAUUAAACACUUUUGAGUCUGGUUCUUAUGAAGGGCCAAAGCUCUCUGUCAUCGUCGAAAAAGGAGAAAGUUAACAUUCCCAUAUCAAUCAAUAAACUGAUAGCCAAUUUGUGUAAUAGAGCUAUACAGAUAUCCAAUAGUGAACAAUAAACAGAUGUCUUUACUUUCAAAUAGAAGUCCUAGAGAAGAUUAGUAGAGAAAAAAGAACUUGCCUGAAAGAUUGCACUGUCGCCCUUGAGGUAACGUGAAGUGAAAGGGUUGCAGCUUCCAUAUUUUGUAGACAUUUUUUCAAUAUUUCCAUUAUCCUGCUUUAAAAACAUAGUAGCAACCAUAAUAAGAAUAUACAAGUGAGGAAACAGAAACCUAAAUAAAUUUUAACGAAUGCAAAUACCUGAAGUUCAUUCCUAACCAAAUGGGAGGCUUUUCUUAUGCCUAAAUCUCCCAGCAAGGAUAUGCACCUUUUGUAUAACUCUGACUCAACAAGAUCAUGUGAAACACUGAUCCUGGAUAGAUAGUUCUUAGAAAAGACCACACCAUUCUUUGACAGCAAAGAAGUCACAGGUUGUGCUCCUUGAGGAGCUUCCAAACUUUUCAAACUUUUAGAAUCAUCAUCCUUUGCUUCAAGGUUUUCAGUAGUUAAAUGUCGGAUUUCCUUUUGCUCAGCCUGAGGUUGAAGAUUGUGUUGUCCACCAGAAUCAGAAACAGCAGUUAUUGCAGAGUCAGGCUCCUUCUUAGCUACCGGAAGUUCAGCAUCCGGCACAUCAUUUGGUCCCUUGGAUACAUCACCAGUCAUCUCCCACCCUCUGCUGCCAGCAUGAGGUCUAUUCUGAUCCCACUCUUGCCUACCAUACAUAUAGGGUUCACCAGGAAAUACACCACUGCCUCCAUUCCAAACUUGCAUAUGAGGUGGGCAUGCUUCAUCCAGAUGAUUAGGCCACCCAAAUGGACGCAUGUGAGUCGAAAACCUAUCAACAGCAUCAUGCAUGGGAUAUGAAACUCCAGGUUGGUUUAACUUCAUUUGAGGUCUAAGAUUAAACAUAGGUGGGCCUGGAAACUGAUGGACAGGUGGAUGAAAACCAGGAGCACCACCAUGUUGGAUGGGGACAAAACCAUUAGAAACUGGAGAAGGCCAGUUUGGCGGAUUGUUCCAGGCAUGCCCAUGUCCACGAACAGAAUUCAUGUCAUUCCUCUUCUGAUGACCAUGGAACCUCCUAUCUCCAUUGUGAGGCCUACGGUCAUCAUCAUGAAGACCCAGGAAGGAAGAGUCACUGUUCCUUGCAGAUGGUGGCAGAGGAUGAUUUGGUGAACUGCCCGAAAAAUGACCACCUCUACUUAUGGAUGAAUUUGACGGUGUUGGCUCUCUGAAUGGAACUUUAGCUGGUGUUCGAUCUUGAUGAUGUGAUCGUUCUUGGGCUAGGUCACCAUCUCUAUCUCUGUAUUUCGUAAGGCUGUUUCUUUCUCCUUUAUUAUCUAGACUACGCCCACCACUAAGCCUACCAGAAAACCUCUGGUCACCUGACGAUGGAGAUUUUUCAGACAGUUGUUUUGGUGAAGUAUGCUUAUCUUUCCUAGGUGUGCGAUCAUAGUGUGAUGAUGUAGAAAUUUCCAAUGCUACAUCACGAGGCUGGUGAUCAUCCUUCUGCUUAAGCCUUUCAGAAGACCAAUUUUCUGCAUCCCUGUCACGAAGUCUAGAACCAGGUGUCCUUUCUCUACCAGAAGAUGUUCUUGGCCGACUAUUUCUCUCAUCAUACGUCAUUUCUCUCUUUCCAUGAUCUAUCACUUUAGAUCCAUGCCUGGACAUCAAUGAAUUAACCAUUUCAGACAUUAGAAGAAACAAAGCAUACAAGAGGAGUGCAGAUAACUUAAUCCCAAAAUCUGUUAAUUGAUAGCAAAAUUGCAAUAUUUGACAAUCUAAAACCAAUAUAUAAAACAGAUACCAUAAAGUUCAAGAGAUGAUCAAGCCUCACUUGGCCAACCUCUGUAAACUAAAUAGGAGAGGUGCUUGCCAGGAAGAUCCAACAUCCAUGGUGACACCGACUAAAACAAUAUACAGUUUUUCUUUUAUGUGGAUUAUAAACAAAAUCUAAUUCUCAAGAAGCCAAACAAACUAUUUUAGAUAGACAAAUAUUAACCCUGCACCUCAUGGAGGAACUCCCCAACCAUGAACCAACUGAUACCUUCUGGAACUUACUAACAUGAGACGGUUUUUUAAGGAUAGAAAUAAAACCAACCAUAAGGAUCUCACCAAACUGUAUCUGAUAAAUAAACUGUUACCUCAAAAGGAAUUUCCCAACCUACAGAUCUAUUACAAAUAACAAUAGAUGGCCUCUUCAAACAAUUUAUCGCCCAAAACAACUGUAGUCAGCAAAUAUAUAAGACAAACAAUAAUUUAUGAAAGCUAAUUUCAGGGACACCCUCUGAAACUUAACUCAUUAGCCCACAAUGCUAGCAAUAAUUUCACCUAAAAAAUUAUCAGCCAAUACAAAACCAAUUGAGUCAAAAAUGGCAAUGGUUCUAUCAAGCUUUUUCUGCCACAAAGAUGUCCAGCUGACUUAUGCAUAGAAAUACAGCAAUAAUCUAGCACACAAACUAUGCACAUAAUUGUCAUUAGUAAGAAACAAAUACACAUGGUUAACAUUAAAUAGAAAUAUAUAAUAAACAGAUUACUGUAGUAAUACUAGGACAAGGUACAGCUACAUUGCUGCACCCUUGCAAGAGAUGAGUGCAGUAUUUUCAGAUGUAUAACCAUAUAGAAGAAAAGUUACCGGCUUUGAUCUUUGUCGUGGUAAGAACUUGGGCUAGGUGAACUUCUUGAGUGGAUUUUACUUGGACUAGAACUACGAUCAGGUCUUGCUCUCUCAAUCAGAGAAUCCAGACGCCCACUGCCUGAAGAUUUUUCCAAAUGCACACGUUGAUCACGUGUGCUUGGAGGCUUUAAAUCGUACUGGUCAUCAUUUUCCUCAGGAGGUCGUUUUUUCCCUCUACUUUCCUUAUACCUAUUGCCAUAAUCCUCAUAAUGAUCAACAUCUUGAACUGCAUCCUUUCUGUAAUGGCUCUCUGAGCUUCUGUGCCCAUCUUUAGCACUCUUAUAAUCAGCUCUAUCACUUUCAUGACCCCGGGCCACUCGCUCAUCAGAAAACUUGUCAUCAUGUUGCCUUUUAUCCCUUACAUAAUCAUCCUUGUACUUUUCCUUAUACUUGUCAUCAUCGAACCUUUGUUCCUUAGAACUCCUAGAUUUACCAUGUUCAUAUCUGGACAGGGUCUUUCUGUCAUCACUGUCUCUAUUGUCAGCGGGCCACUUAUCUGUAUCUUCAGAAUCAUCUUUUCUUCGGCUGUGUUUGUCAGCUUGCAUAUCAGGAUUAUUGUACUUCUCUUUUGCUGAAAUUUCUGCCUCCAAAAGAAGUAGUUUAGAAGGCAAUGCUCAGCGAAAGAAAAGAAAACAACCCAAAAAACAUGUAUAGUGACACUGAAAUAAGUAGCAUUCAGGUAAAACAAGUACAUAGGUAAACACCAUUCAGCAUAGAGUAAAAAAGCCCUUCAAGUAUACUAUCCAGUCUUCACUGAGACAGGGCCCAGCAAUAUCAAAGGCGAUAGAUCAGAAGUAAAAGUACAAGAAAUACGGCUUCAUAUAACUUUACAACAAGAUAUCAAACUUAUAUAAUAAGCACAACAGAGUUUAAUGUAGCAAAGGUAAAAAUGGAUCUAUAUACAAUAAGCACAACAGAGUUUCAUGUAGCAAAGGGAAACAUGGAUAUUAAAGCGUUCAAUGUGGUAGAAAAGAAACAAAUGUAAGAAAACUAUGAACUCUACAGGUUACAACCAUUUUCGCCAAGUUUAUUAAUAUAUGCUAGCACUAUUUAAAAUAAUAAUGAUAGCAUCAUGCAAAACUCUAAAUGAAAUCACGAUAAGAAAAACGUAACACAUUGCAGUAGGAACAUGGCAUAUAAUCGCACAUAGAGCAGGAAUGCUAUUGAUACCAUGGAGAACAUGAAAAUGGGCUACUUACCAUUGGCAUCAGUAUCUCUCCUAUAUGAGUAGGCCUCUUCUUCUGUCCUACUCGUCUUCGAGAGACUCUUUCUGCUCCCGCCAUCCUCAUACCUCUCAUGCUUGGAAUCAUAAUCUUUCUUGUCCCUCUCCCGCUCCUUCUGCCUCUCACGCUCCCUCUCCCGUUCCCUGUCCCGCUCUCGAUCCCUGUCUUUCUCACGCUCCCGUUCCCGUUCUCUCUCCCUCUCUUUCUCACGCUCUCUUUCCUUGUCACGCUCUCUAUCCCUACUCCUUUCUCUAUCUCGCUCCUUCUGCCGCUCCCAUUCUUUUUCCCUUUCCCUUUCCUUCUCCCUCUCCCUAUCUCUGUCAUCCUUAUAAUGCCCACUACUCUCCUUCCUCCCCAAAUCCUUCUCUUUCUCUGACCUCCGCUUCCCAGAGUCACUCUUGGACGCAACCUCCUCGGCCCUGUCAUCCACAACCACCGCCCGCCUGCUUGACCUCUUGGGCUCAUCCCCUGAACCCCUGGACUUGUCGGCCAGUUUCUCCACUUCAGCAUGCCCAAAGGUCUCACUCUUGGACCUCUUGUCCACCAGGUGAUCGUCGCAGACGCCACUGUUCCACCGGUCGCUGACCACAUCCACCACGGCCUCCUCAACCCUCUCCUUCCUCUUCUUCCCGUGCUCCGCGUACCCGUUCCCCGAUCUCACGGCCUCCUUCCCCGAGGACGAGCGGCGCCUCUCGGGCUCGGGAUCUCUGGAAACCCUAGCCGCCGCCGCGGCCUCCUCCCGCGCUGCGGCGGCCGGAGCCGACUCCUCGCCCUCUGACUCCGACCGGUCCGCGGACCCUCCCCGCCUGUGGGAGCGGUGCGACCUGUGACGCGAGCUCCGAGGCAUGGCGGGCCAACCCUAACGGGAACACCACCAACCCAGAUGCGGAAGCUGGCGACGCGGGGCCCUGAAGCCCUAGGGCGCGCGCCGGAUCUAGACAGCCGUGGCGGCGGGGAGAGGGGAGCGCGAGGGCGCUGGGGUACGGCGGCUAGGGUUUUGGCGGGGUGAGGGAACGGAGGGGAGGAGGAAGGGGUGAGGCGGCGGCGGCCGGGGAUGGGAGACGACGAGUUCGUGGGUGGAGAAAAUGGGGUAGGAAAAAGGCUGGUUGUUUUUUUUUUUCGGCUUCGGAUUUGGGGGGAGGCCGAGGGGUUUGGUUGGGAUUUGGCCCUCUGGCGUGGUGGUGGUUUGCUUCGCUGCGAUGCGGUGCGGUCGAAGGGGCGCGCGGCGGGAGGAUUGGACACGAGAGAAGGGAGUCGAGGCGCGUCGCGCGGGGGUCUCCUGCCGGGCUGCCGGUUUUGGUAUCUCGUUUCUUCGCAGCCGCUACUGGGCUCCACAGUUCCGAUUUUACUAUCACAAUCUCCUUUGGAAUAGGAACGGAGUUCAUCUCCUCUACGAAUUCACAAGCAUAAUUGAUUCUACGAGUCAGCAUGAGAAUGAGGAACUAAAUGAUCCUAUUGCACACACUUUUGAGUCCUUGUGCCAAUCUGCAAUCCAUUUUUUCCUCGAUGUCUUGUUUGGUUCUUUCAUUCAAGAGGUUGAAGCAUAUUGAGAACAUGUUUGUAUUGAAGCGAUGCUAUGAAGAUUGUCACACUUCUAAUGGUAGAUGUAUUAGUUGCAAUGAAGAUUACACUUAAUAAUCUAAUAGUGGAUAAUAAGCUUCAUGUAUAAUCAUGAAGAUAGGCUUCAACUACUAAGAGUAAUGGUAUGUGUUACUACUUAUUACUCUACAUGAAAUACUUGUCAUCCUAGCAUUAUCAUUUAUAUGCGCAUGAGCAGUACUUAAAUUGCAUUGUCUUUUCAAUUACCAAAAGUGGUUUAUGGCAUCUAAACUAAAUUUUGUCAUGAGAAAUUAAUAUCAACGUAAUCCCGCCAUUCACAAAUAAAUUAAUAUCAACAUAUACUCCCUCCAUUCACGAAAUAUCUUUUGUGGUUUUGUUUUGUCCACAAACUCAUGCACUUUAUUAAGACCCGGUUUGGCAGACUUCAUUGGCUCCUAGUUCAUUUCUAGAACAAAGAGAAAAAAUAGCUCCUUGCUACAAUGCAUAAUAAAGUCAAAUGUUCACAGUGCGUUUAUACAAAUAGCCACAAACCUACCUUUAACUCCCCUUGCAGGUUUUGCAUCAUUGCUGUAGCUUGUUGAGUACGGUGGUUAAACUCAAGCCUUGCUAUUGUACCCCUUUUUCAGAAGUUUAGUGCUUCUGAGUUGAAGACGAAGCUAGACAACCAAGGUUUAUCCCCGAGAUUCGGUUGCUUGUCAGCGACCUACAUCCUCGUUGUGGUGAGUCCCCAAAUCAUGACUCACGUGCUUGAAGGGUCGAGAUGACGGACUAGAGGGAGGUGAAUAGUCCUUUCUAAACUUAUCACACCUGCUAACCGAAACAAAUGCGUAAUUAAAACUAUCGGUCUAGCCAAGACUAUACCUCUCUAUCUAAGUUCUCUAGCACCUUAUAAAAGAUCCUAAACAAACAAAUAAGGUGCUACCUUAGCAAGAGCUCACCUAACCAAAUCUAGGAGCAAUUUCACACAAACUUAUACCACUAGUACUUUGCAAAAUGGAAAGCUCCUACAAAACUAGUAAGCAAAAGUACAAAGCUCCUAAGCUCACUAGCAAUGCUCAUUAACAAAGCAACUAAUGCUAAAUUAGAGAGCACGAAAUACUUAGCUACACAAACUAAGAAUUGUGACUAACAAGGUUACACAAACUAAAUUAGCCACGCAAGGGGGCCUACUUCUAGCUACACAAGCAAGAAGAUGACUAGCAAGCUACACAAGCUAACUAGUUACAAGAGCAACUACACAAGCACAAGUAUAUGGAUAUAAAUACAAGCUUGUGUUAGUGUGGGGGUAUAAACCCCUAUACUCUCAUGGGCCGAUAUGGGCCGCACCAUCAGAGGUGGCUCGGCCCACAAGAUGAAGAUGGCGGCGCACAACGCUGGUUGGCGUGCACCGCAAGGCUACAAGAUAUUGUACCAAAUAGGAUACUUUGCUUAUAACACUGUCCCUUCAGGAUAUAUAAGGAGGGGCAGAGGUCCUCUAGAGGACAGGAUAUAGACAUAUGAUUCUCUCAACAUAAAUCAAUACGACCAGACGCAGGACGUAGGUAUUACGCCCACCCGGCGGCCGAACCUGGAUAAAAAGCUUGUCCGUGUCUUGCGUCACCAUCAAGUUCGCAGCUUGCGCACCGUCUACCGAUAAACUACUACCGUGGGUAUACCCCAAGGUAGACUGUCGACUAGCUUUCGUCGACAGUUAGAGACUUGCUAACCAACGGGAAGAACGAUAUUGACACGAUAAUUUUCUCUUGAGGUUCAUUUGGUUGCCACCAAGCUAUGUCCUCAUUGGAACAAGCUCCAACUCCAAGGUUGUUGCUGGUCCUCUUGCUAGUGGUGACCUACAAGUCACACUCUCCCACGUGGAGUGCUUACCACAAGCUCUAGCACUUGACCCACCCGGACCACUUGUCGCCCUUCAUGUCUCGCUAUACUAGAGUUGUUCUUUGUGAUACCCUCGGGGUGAGCACCGUACCCCUCACAAUCUCUUCUCUAGAGCACCGCACAAUCUCCUUGCAUGCUUCGACGGAGUCACAAGCCACCAAACCGUCUAGGAGGUGGCAACUUCCAAGAAUAACAAGCACCACCUACUUGCAACACGAACACCUAGUACCACUCGAGCAACCUCACGAUGCAAUCGCACUAGAAUUUCUUUCUCACUCGAUCAGAUGAACACUAUCAAACAUGAGUGAGUUAGAGAGCUCCCAAGCACCACCACACAAGUCACCAAAGCCUUAGUGUACUCAACAACCGGCCAAAGCUAGCCACCACUUCUAUUUAUAGCCCCAAAGGCUAAACUAGUUGUUGCCCCUUUACUGGACAAAACGCGUGGGCGUCGAAUGCGCGACCCUAGCGUCUGACGCUCACUGAGCUGCCACGUGUUACUAGUCUUUUGAACUUGACUGUUGCUGCCAACGACUAACUUGUACACGCGUCUGAAACAGUCACGUCGGACGCAGCGUCUCCACACCGAACGCUACUCAGAGAGGUUUGCAACCUCGCACAGUCGUCGGGUGCGUCCAAUGAACACACAUCGGACGCACUCCAGCAUCUAACGCUGUCUACAGAAAGCGUUCACUCGUGCACAAGCAGCAUCAGACACUCAAACAGUGUUCGGCCCACAUCCGAUGCUCAUCUGUCGGAUGCUCCGACACAUGGUUAAAACGCGCGCUGAGUGUCCACAACGCACUAGACGUUGGGCCAGCGUCCGACGCCUUCAUGGCCAGCGUUCGAUGAGUGUUUUUCUAGAGAAAAACAGAAAAACACUUCCACAACUUCUCCAUACUUUUCACCGGCGCAAUAGAUUAUGCAUUUUAUUUUCUCAAAAGCGUCGAAUCCGAGUGAGAAACCCAAACCCCUCUCUACCCCUUUAACUUCACUGCCUUUGAAAAUGUGCUAGCACCACCGAGUGUCCACUACCAUUGUGCAUGUGUGUUAGCAUUUCACAAAUAUUUUCUUAAAGGAGUUAGCCUCUCAACUUGCCACGCCACUCGAUCCUAACACGUAUACAAAGUUAGAUUGCUCAAGUGGCACUAGAUGACCGAUAUGCAAACAAGUUUGCCCCUCUUGAUAGUACAACCAUCUAUCCUAAAUCUAGUCAUAAACUUCUCUACACACCUAUGACCGGUAAAAUAAAAAUGCCCUAGGUUAUACCUUUGUCUUGCACUUACCAUUUCAUCUCCUCCAAUGUUGAUGCAACACAUGUACCAACCAAUCAUCAAAUAAUAUGAUCCACUUCAUAUCAUCACGUGACUGUAUUAGUUUAUCAAUCUUGACCUCACUUGCUCUUCAUCGUUGCCUUGGUCCAUCACGCCAAGUCUUACUCAAGCUUCACCGUCACACGCAGCCCCUCACUUCGAAGCCUCCGACUUGCCCUUCACACUUGCAAUCGAUCCAUCGAGCCAAGCCUCAUCUUGAUCUUCUCUAUCUUGGUCACAUGACUCCAUGUCAUGUCUUAUAUGCAAUGAGCUUCUUCAUCAUCAUAUAUUCACCUAUGAACUAAUCUCUUGUGUAUCUCACAUAAAUACUAUUUGUUUACCUAAAUUGUCACUCAAUUACCAAAACCAAAUCUUUCAGCGCUAACUAGCAUCACAAGCUAGACCCACAACUUGGGUACUACAAGAAUCAAUCAAGUGAUGCACUCCAACUAUUUAUGAGCAUUCUAGAGUUGCUCUUUGCAAUCUCCUGUGAGGACGAGCACAAGAGCCCCUUAUGAUAGCUUGAUUACAGACGACAACAAUCACCAAUAGCACUCAAUGAUCCCUUCAAUUCCAACUCGACUAGGUGACAAUCACUAAGAAAAACAAGAGCUCCACUAGAUGAUACGCCCAACUGGUGUCACAAAGAUGCAAAGAACGAUGAUGCAAAUGCAUUGGAGGCUCUCCAAUCUCACCAAAAUGUGAAAUUAGUGGAUUCAAAUGAGUGAAGUGCAUGUAUUAGCUCACAAAGGGUUAGCACAAGUGUGGAAGGGCCCAAGAGACUGACCAAGGCGAACCACAAGGUUUUGUAGGAUCUCCUGGAAAUUAAGGAGGCCUAGAGGGGGUGAAUAGACCUAUAAAAAAUCAACUCAAAAUCUAGUCAGAACACAGGGCGACACUGCCUACCUUUAUAAAACUUAGACAGGAAUAAGAUUUUGCAGAAAGUAAACUAAAUCUAGGAGGUAUGCAAUCCUACAAUUUCAAGAUAAAGUCCAACUCGAAUACUGGAUACCACAGAAACCUUGCCACACAAAAAGAUCGAGCCCACAAACCCUAGAAGUGGUUGGGCAAAGGAUUGAAUAUCUAAGAACACACAAGACAUAGUGAUUUAUCCCGUGGUUCAGCUUACCACCAAGGUUUGCUUAGGUCCACGUUAUUGAGGAAGCUACAAAAGGCUUAGGCUUUCCACAAAGGCUUGACCUACCCUCGUUCUCAAAUUAAGAGAGUGAACUCUUUGAGGUGAGGAGUGAUUUCUUAGCU
rnacentral:lncRNA from 1 species